UUUUUUUUGUUCUUUUUUUUAUCUCUUUUUUUUCUCUCUUUUUUUUUUUUAAAAAAUAAUAAUACAAAAUCAGAAUAACAAAAUAAUAAAUGAGCCCAUUUCACAAAUUUGGGCCUAAAUUGCACUCAAAACCUUAAACAAGCCCAAACCCAAGCCCAAGCAAUACAAAUAAGUCCAACCCAAUUGAAAUUAAGUCCAAACCUAAUUGUUAACUAAUAAACCAACCCACUUAAUUAUUAAACCAAUUAACCCAAAAUCCAAUUGAUAACUAAUACCCAACCCACUUAACUAAUAACCCAGUUAACCCACCCAAGAUGCAACCCGAUUUGGGACGGCGGGAAUGCCGUCAUCGGUGUCGUCCGUUGAUAGCGACGGCAGACGAGUCGACGAAGUGGACGAAGACUCGGUGGAGAGCAAGAAGGCGUUGGGUCAAUUUGGGUUCUGUCGCCUGGAUAUGGAUUGGGUUACUGUUGGAGUGGUGAUGACAGGCGUCGGAGCUGUGAGGAUGAUCGAGAGUGGGGUUCCAUGAAUAGAGAUGGCGGCCACGGAGUGGUCUGAUUUCCGGGUUACUGUGACUGUCUGCAGUUACUGUUCAUUGUGGGUGGUUAUUUUGUGAACAGUUGAGAUGAAGAUAAUCAGGUUUUGGCUUUGAUACCAAUUUGAUGUAGAAUGAUUAAUUCAAUAAAGAUAACAAUAAGAGAUAUUGGAGAAGGAAGAAGAAGAAGAAAUAGGGCAGAAGGGAGAAGAGAUGGCAGCAGCCAAACCAAUAAUUCUUAAUCAAUUCAUUGUCCAAAAAUUACAAACCAAGAUAGGUUUAAAUAAUAAAAACCUAGAAAUAUAGGGCCAAGCCCAUUAUUUAAGGCCUUAACUAAAAUACGUAAAUUUAAAUAAAAGUCCAACUGAAACAAUAAUAAAAGUCCAACUAAAAUACUGAAAUAAUAAUAAAAGUCCAACUAUAAUGAUGUCCUCAUCAGAAACAAUAAAAAGAAAGAAAAAUGGAUAGAGAACAAAUAUAAUCAAGAAGUAGGAAAAUAACUAAUAAACUUUUAACCAUAAUUGUAAGGUUCGUAGAACGGAAGAAGAAAGAGAAUAUUACAUGAUAGAAAAUAUAUUACAAAAAUCCGUUUGUUAUAGUCUCCUAAAAUCUUGGGAUGAAUGAGAAACUUAUUUUGAAAUUUUGUUUUUGUACUAUCUGCUUUAAAAUUAAUACUCUGAAGACUUUUAUAAUAGUUUUUAAAAGUCAUUAAAAUUUUGAUUAUCAUAAAAUUUUUAGAGACUUCUAAAAAGUUUUAAUUAAAUAUACCGAAACUUUUAAAGACUUUUGAAAAGUAUAAAGUCUCUAUUGAUUAUACCAAAAUUUUUAUAGAGUCUUUAAAAAUCUCAAUUGAAUGCCCCUAUGCUUUUUAAAUCCUUAAAUGUCUUUAAAAGUAUUUAGAAUUCUCAAAUGAAUACACCCUCCUUAGUAUGCUCGUCAUUAUUGUUUUAUUUUCUGUUUUUAAUCUUAAAUUUACAUUUUGUCCAUUACCAUGUCUGAAGAGUUCUAGGUUUUUUAUUUCCCAAUAGUAAACAGAAGGAUAACAUGUUUUCCAAUUUAGUAUAUAUUGCAUGUUGUCUUUCCUCUUAGUUUUCUGAUUGCUUUUCUUAAGUCACCUUGGACUCUUCUCUUCUUUGCAUGCCUUAAAAACUUUAGUCAAGUAACUUCUGAACACUUUUAACCUUCAGCAUGAUUAUAAUUGCAUUUGAUAGAUAUCUUCACCGUCCUGUUUUUGAUAUUUGCCUUUCUUCUAUUUUCAGGGAGUGAAACUAUACAUACUCCACUUGUCUCAUAUUCAAAUGAGAGGGAGGAUGGUGUUCCCAAAAUUUCAUUGCCAGUUUUUGGGCUAGCCACAUAUAAAUAUAAAGUAUCAUUGUGGACCCCAAAUGCAGGAUAUCAGCGCCAACUGGUGACCUCUCUCCUUCAGGAUGCUGAUGAUCGGCUAAAAUUGCUGCAGGUCAAUCACCCAGAUUUCCUUUUCUUCAGCAGUAAGUGAAAUCUAGAUAUAGCUUACCUUCCUGCUAGGGAAACCAUAAAGCUCUGCGAGUAAGGUUGCUGGAUGGGUUCUCUGUAUUGUUAUGCUAUUAUUGACUGUUUAGAAUCGAUAUAAAUUGAAAAGAAAAAAUAUAUAUAUAUAUAUAUAUAUAUAUAUAUAUAUAUAUGGAAAUUGCUGCAGAAAAAGGGGGGUCACGAAUUCUGAAGAAUGAAGAAAGCAUAGAAAAAGUUCUGAGAUUUAUGGAAGUUGAAGGCUGGUAUGCAGCACUAUGGUUGUUUUACAGUUUGUUUUAUAGAACAGGCAAUUUUUUUGGGUCCUGGUGAUUGGUUGUAAUUUAUUUCUGCACUUUUGAGGGGAUUUUGGUAGCAAAUGAUAUCGAGUGUAAGGUUUGGCCUCCCAUGGCAUGUACCCCGACUCUGUAACUUCAUAACGAUAUAUGUAGGAGGUUAAGAGGAAUUGAGAAUAUCCAUCAUUGGCAAUCAUGUCAUAAUGAUUACAUUGAGGUAAUCCUAGUGUUUGACAUUCAACGAGAGUCGAGUAAUGCUGUGCUCUUAAUUUUCGUGAUUAUCAUGUCCAUUUAAUUUAAUUACAUUAAUAUUAUUUUUAUUUUGUGUUGACUAUCUAUGUUGUUGUAAUGGAAUGUAACUUGGAUGUUCUAAACAAUCAACUUGACUAGUAAUUCUAAAUCAAAGAUAAAUAUAAUUUCAUUAAAUUUAUAAUAUAUUAUGUGAUAUUUAUACUAUCUUUAUAAUUAGAAUUGGAAUCUAAACAUUUGUGGUAAUAACCUAUUUUCUCUUUUUAAUAGUAAAUUGAUUUAAUGUUAAAUUACUCGGCAUCUAUUUUAGGCGUGAAUUUUCGCUAAUGGAGCCAAUUAAAAGUUUAGAUGGUUUGUUGACAUCUAAAUUUAAUUUGAUUACCGAAUUCCAUGGGAUUAAUUCUUGACCGUUCAUCUCUAAGGCCACUUGUGAUAAUUGACAAUUCUUGAUUUCACGUUUAUUAAUUAGUUUCCAUUCUUUUUUUACAGUGGCUUUGAUAUUUUUACUAAAUUAAAUAUGGCCCUUAAUCCGAAUUUUGAAGUUAACAAUUCAGCAUAUACUUCUAAAUCACAGUAAUCUUAACUAGUAUCUUGCAUGGAUUUAUUAUGUUCUUUUAAGUAAUUCAUUUUGUACGAAUUUUUGAAUGAUGCAUAGGAUACUUUAAAUAUUGUUAGCCUCUUUACCAAAUUUCUCUUUCACAGUUAAUGAUCCUCGUAAUCUUGCUAUCUUUUAUCCUUAAAAUGUUAGUGUAUCCUUAUCCUGAACUUAAUAUCCAUAAAUUAAUGUAGUAGAUAUAAUGUAACCAAACAGUACCUUAUAAGCUAAGAAUGUUUUUAACUUAAAAUCUAACUUUUACUCUUUUCUACAGUUUUAAUUUACAGUUCGAGCAUAUAAUUGAGAUCUAACUUAAUAGAAAAAUGUUAUGGAUCAUGUUUAAAGAGUGAACUUUAAUUUAUUGAAGUUUCCAAGUAAAUGGUUAUAAACUAGGGCGACUAAGGACUUCGCCACUGACCUUUUUAAAAGUAAAUUGUUAAGGACAUCAUGUAAAUAAACCUCCCUUUAUCUUCAUGGCACUUGAUAUCAUUAAAUGUAUGAAUGUGUUACAUAAAUCUGUUCUUAUGUGAACAUGAUGUUUAAUUAUUACGUUUUAUAUUAUAAAUGUUUCAUGUAUACUCAUGCACGUCAAUGCAUCAAUAAGCAUACAUGAAAUUUCAAUAAAUAAAAUAUUUCCAAAUGUCAUGACUCAAUGAAUGUUUAAAGAUUUGUAUCCCGAAUGUUUUUGUUAUGAGAUGUAUGUUUAUGCCAUGAAAAUGUGAGUGGAAAAUGGGGUUUGGGGGAGACCGGCACAUCUAACCAAUGAUGAAUGAUGAAUAUUUAAUGUUAAUGUUAAUAUUAAUCGCUUUGCGGUACUACCUGUAGAAUUUGAUCGGGUUCCAAAUAACAUGUCCCACUACAUUCUGGUUGGCUAUAGGCGAUACAUCAAUUGAGCUCACGGUGUUAAUGUUUUUAAAUAAAUGAAAUAAUGGGGAUUCAUAUUGAAAAAUGCCUUUCGUUUUAAAAUAAUGCAUAUGCAUAUCAUCAGCAUGCAUCAUGUGCAUGGAUUUGCUUACUGAGCUUUAGCUCAUCCCACAUUAUCCCUCCCCACUUUUAGAUGAUGAAGACAUGAUGAGUCGAGACGACUACUUGUGGUGAGACGGACUUGGUACUAAUUUAUUCAAUGUUGAUUCAACUUGAAAUAAGUUGAACUCUUAAUUUGAUUAUCUUAUAUCUUUAUUAAAUAUAAAAGUUUUCUAAAGUUCCUCCCUUAAGUGAGGGUCAUUAAUAUUUUUAUGUUGAAGAAAAAUUUAUAUUCAGUAUUCCGCAUUUAUGGUUCUAAGGGGAAAUUAAAUGCUAAUACUUUCAAGUCUACGUAAUUAGAUUUGGGGGUGUUACAAUUCGUGACUCGGAAUUUCUUCGCAAAAUAACUAGAGGUAGUAUGUUCAUAUCAAAAUUUCUAGCCAAUAUUACUGUAACUUUGGAUAUUCCAUUUCCAUAUUAUCUAUGUUUUUGAAUUUCAUUCCUUUGUGCCAUUUUUCGAAAUGAAUGUGAUUCUUGACUAGUAACAAUUGAAUGAUCAUCGGUUGUUUACUACAUCGAUGUAAUUUAACAUAUACAGAACUGUAGCACAGAUUGAACUCUAUGUUUUGCAUAUCACAAUCUCUACAAUUUAACAUCCGCAUAACUUCAUUUUGCCAGAACUCGAAUUUUUGCACUCUGUUGACCUUUCGCGCGAUAUCAUGCACAAAAUUAUUGUUCUCCAAUAAUUAUUGCAUAAAAUUAUUAUUCACCUCUGGUUAUGGAGAAGACAAUUUGGAAGAUAUCGAAGAUGCUGAGGAAGAAGGAUCUUCAUUUGUAAUGCUAGAGGGGGACUCAGAACCCAAAAACAAAUUUUAGCAAGCUUUUUGACUAUCACAAGUUGGUGCACAGUGGUUAUGGGAACUACAUUGUCAUAGAGCAGGCAGAAUAAUUGGAGAUGAGAUGGAUCUCGGUAAAACCAUCCAUGUUUUAGCUUUCCUUGGAUCAUUACAUUUUGAUAGUAUGUACAAACCAACCAUUGUUAUUUGUCCCGUUACCCCCUUGCGGCAGUGGAAGAGAGAAGCUAUGAAAUGGUAUUCAAGAUUUCAUGUGAAGAUAUUACAUGACUCUGCUCAGGAAAUGAUCGAUAGGAAAAAGCGAUCAAAAUCAAUGAAAACAUUAAUGAAAGUGAUGAAUUACUUGAUAGUGAUAGUAAUGGAAAAUUAUCUUCUAGAAGUACUCUUGGUUAUUGCAAUUUACACAAAAAUCUACUCAUUUCCAAUAAAUGUAUUAUUUGGCUAACUCAAUUGCAUAAUUGUUGAUACAAAUGUGGAAAAUUUUGCGACCAAUGUAGAUAGAUUAUGACAAUCAUCGCUCACGUUUUUUGAUGGUUCAUCACCCUUCAUUGUUUCUACUGAAACGCGAGAAGUCAAAACUUUGCUUAUAUAAGACCAUUAGAAUAGGUUUUAACCCUUGGAUUAAGCCGUUUGUCCAAUCAAUUCUCAAUAAAUGUGAUGUUUUUGUUCCCCUGUUUUUUUUUUUUUUUUUUUUUUUUUUUUUUUUUUAAGAAUGGUAACAAAAGUAAAGUAGCGUUUGAAAACUGAUCAAAAUUAAAUUUGCUAGUCCAGGAAGAAAUAUACUUAAUCUGCAUCGCUUUUAGUCAAUAAUGAUACCCAACAACUUUCACUCCCUUUUGAUACUCCGUGGUACAAGAUCGAAAUUAGUCUCCUAACCUAUGAUAACCUUCUCGCAAACGUGCUUGUAUAGUUGAGCUGCUAGGUACAAUUUUGCAAUUUUUGCAUCUAACAUCUCUACCAUUUGGUUGAUCUUCUGGUUGAUAAUAUAUUCGGCAAACUUAAUUACAUAUAAAUCGCAAUUGUGCCUGAAAAAUGAAGACGUACAAAAAAAAUUAAAUAAAUUAGACAGUUUGUGUUAAACUAGAGUAUGAAAUUGCGAUUGUGACAUGUGUAUACUAAUAAUGCUUCCAAUUCUAAUGAACUCACCUGUUAAUUGUCUUGUGGUAUACCAUCCAAUUCAUAUGAUAAAAGGAAAAGGGUAUGAUCUGUAUGAUUUUUCAUGAUGAACUGUAAAAAAAAUUUCACAGCUAUUAGAGUUUUUAUAAUCGCAGAAUAGUCGGGUAAGUGCGAAUCGUAGCAUGGAAAUCAAUUUCUAGACACACAGAGUGAAAUAUAACCUAUCUUUGGAACGUGAAGAAAGGUUUGAAUACGAUUGAAAGCGGAAAUACCUCAAUUUUGAUGAAUUUUUUGUUUUUUCCAUAGAGAGUAAGAGCAUAAUGUCGGGGAUUUUUGGGGAAAGUUAAAUAGUGAUAGUUAGGGCAUGUUUGACAGAUUGAUUAAGAUAGAUUCAAAAAAUUAUUCUUAACCGGAAAUGUUGAGACGUGUUUGGAGGAGUAAUUACAGUCAUGAAAUCAUUUAAUGGAUGAUAGAAGCAAUUUUGUGUUUUUAUUUUUAUUACAUAAAAUGCAGUAAUUUUGGUUUAAAAAAUAUAUAGUAGUAUAAUAUGAAUAUAUAUAUUAAAAAUAAGGUAUGUGGUAAAAUUUCCACUAGUUUAUAUUGUUGUGCUCCAUAUUAUAGCAUUCUGUCCAUGUGCUUUAGUUUGGAUUCUUGUUAAUGAACAAUUCACGCGACAGUUAGUCCAUGUUUGGUGGGAAAUAAAAUCAAAUUUUUUAGUAUAUUUUGAUAAAAAUUAACGAAGCAUGUGGUUGAAAAUUUGUUGAUCUCAUAAAAUAUAUGAUUAAAAUUAAUUGUUAACUUUGAUUUAUAUUAAGAUUUAGAUUUUAAUUCCUACCAAACCGUAGCUCAGUCUAGUUAGUGGUGUAAUCAAAUCAAUGAAUCGAUUUAAACAAAAUAAUACUAACAUGAAAGUUAGCUACGAUUUACUCCUAAGUUUUCGUGCUUGAUCUCUUUAGAUCAUCUACCGUCUAUAUACCUCUUUAAUCACAUAUUUUUUUCUUCUUCUUCUUCUUCUUCAUUUUUUUUUUUCAAAAUUUACUAAAAAUUGAUUAUUAGCUUAAUCAAAGAUGGUCUAACUAUUAUAGUUGAACUAAUAACUAGAGAGUGUGAGAGAAAAUAUCUUCAUCAAGUGGAAAUGAAAUAAUUAUACAGUUCAAUGUUAAUAAUUUACACUACCAUCCUAGAUUCUGAAUUCUGAUGAACCACUUUGCCAAUUCAUAUGUAUCUAAAAUAAAUAAAUAAAUAAAAAUUGCAUUAAAAGUUAAAUAAAAAUUUGCGUUUUUAAAUAUGUUUGGCCUUUAAGCAUAAUGCCUUUAAUUACCGUUGAAUAAAAAAUUUCCAUAAUACGGAUUUUUCCUCAACAUGCAUCUUGAUUUCCGUUGAAUAAAAAGUUUCCAUAAGAAGACUGGAGUUCUUUUCAGUAUUUUUAUAAAGUGAAUCGGCCAAACGAAUUAGGGAUAGUUGAUUUUUCUGAUAAGAUAAGAAUCCUCCUGUGAUUAAUUGCUCAUUCGUCUCAAUGGCAAGACACUGGAAAUCUGCAUGUGACAGUGAUUGGAAUGCAGGCGGGGCUGAGGGUUUCGGUGCUGGAGCUUUGGUGGUUUUGAUCGGCCUUUUUAUUGUCUUCACCGUUAUAUUUACAUGUGAAGGAGGUCAUUCCAAGGACAAGGCUUCGUCGGCAACCUACUGCGAUACAUACGGUAGUGAUGGAUGCGGCGGCGGCGGCUGUUCCUCCUGUGGCGCAUGACUCAACCUACCCACCUCCUUUAUCUUUGUACUGAUUCAUAAUUCUUUAUAAAGAGGGGGGAAAAACAUAGAUGUAUGCCACGAAAUAAUUCAGGCGUUAAAGAAUUCAAAACCUGCUUUCUUCUUUAUUAGAAUUGAAGUGUUUGUUUCUGAACAUUUAUUGAAUUUUUUAACUUUCUGAAAGAAGGUGAAUGUUAAUUUCUUAAUUUUGCAAAAUUAUACAAAAAAGGCUUGCUUAUAUUCAAUUCAAUUUUUAUUUUUAUUUUUCAAAGUUUCCACUUAAUCUCCCCAUAUAAUACGCACAUUACUACAAGUUGUUACACAAUAGUGGAAUUACCCAUGGCUGAAUAUAUUCAAUAACUAUUCAAUAACAGUACAAAUCUUCCUGAAUAGAAAUAGAAAGGUUGGUUAAGAUUUGAACAGUACUACAAUUUAAAAAAAAAAAAAACAGAUUUUUCAUGGUGAUCUUCCUGAAUAGAAAUUUAUGGUUUGUUAAAAAAGAAAAUGAAAAAAUGGAAUGGAUACUUGAGCAAAUUUUUCUCUUUUGUUGGCCACUACUUGUUCAGGGCUUUAGGCCCUAAUUUUACCAUUGCUUUUCCAGAACAGUCCCACCAAGACCCUUCUGUUGGGGAAAUUUACACCGAUUACGUGCAUAUUAUAUUUACAAAAGCAUAUCGGUUAUUUGCGUGAAAUCGAAACGUAAUUUCGACUUACCGAAAUAGGAUUUGAGAAGCAAAACAUAAAAGUUACUGAAUCUGAAUGCAUGGAUAUGGAUUUAUCCCUUUCGAUUCUUGAACGAAAGCAAAUUAUUCUUUUGAUCGAAUCUUGCAACAUAAUCAUGUAAACAAAUGUUAAUUAUUUCCCAAAAUCAAAAUAUAAUCAAAAGAAAUUAGAAAACUAUAGGAAGAAAGAUGCAAGUGAUGAAUUUUUGGUCGAGACAAGUGUUUGACACUUGGUCCUUAAGAUGAAUUUCCCUCACAUCGGUGCUAAUGGUUUUUCGACAAUCAUAUCCUAAGAUACAAUGACCACGUCAAUCCAUAGGAGCACUCCAAAUGACUUCGACCAGCGAACUCGAACGAAAUUCCCUCUCUACCAAGGAAAUGCAUGAAAAUGCUAUGGAACUAGAAAGAAGAGAAUUGCAAGAUGAGAAUGAAUGCUCGAUACAAUUGGUGUACCCAAAAUCAUGUUCAUAGGAUUCUAUUUAUAGAUGUAGAAAGGGUGCAAAUGAAGUAGCGUGGACCAAAACAUGCAUCCUUUCAAAAAGUUGCAACACUUGGCCAAAACCUACAUCCUUUUGAAAAGUUGCAACACUUCAUUUCUUCCAAAUUUGAUCCGUAAUUUCUCAUUCAACCGGAAUUGAUUUCGAGAUUCCAAAUAUACCACGACGAUCUACUCGACAAGUAGAAUAAGUUGGUAUAUUUACUUUUGUAAUUUGACCAUCGGAUCAAAUUCGAAUAUUUGAUCGAAGUUGACACAUAGUCACACCUUUUCAUUUUUCACUUUUACACAUCUUUUCAUUUUUCAAUUUUUGGUUAAUUAUUUGAACCAAUCCCUACAAUCCCCCACAUGAAUGGAAAUUGGGUACGCAUAUGCAAAUGCGAUGAUAUGAUACAAUAUAGAGAGGGUGCGAAAAAACACUGCAUCAGGGAAGGUAGUUUCUGGUAUUGAACCUCCUUUAGUGAAAUACCAUCGGACUUACUUGAUUAAUUGGUGAACGUGAUGUCUUGAACCAUUCAGCCUUUAGUAUAAGCCGAGAUAAUGAUACUCACACAGAUGUCUUUUCUAAACUGUUCAUGGUUCUCAUUUGGUUCAUUUUGACCAUGAACCCUUUUUGGUUUUGCAAGUGUUUAGAGAAUUCAAGCCUUGAAUAAUUCUUCAUUGAAGCGGCCCCACUUCACACUUACAUAGGUAACCUCCUAUUAAGAGUAUUCUGCCCUACUCCACUUGACUUAAUCAAGAUAUAGGAAUCAUUAAAAGAUUAUCUUAACCUCUUACAACUCUGUAAAAAGCACUUUAAUAUCAUAGGAAUGAGUUAGGAAACUAUUUUCCUUAGUGCUUCAUGGAAUUUUGAUAACUUAGUUGUCCAUUUAAACUAAGAUCUUGGGAUCUCCAGUUAACAAUGUAGGGUUACCAUUAUAGGGACUCUAACGUAGUAGGCUUUACCUCAUUCCCUUCGAUAUGCAGUAUUCUUGAUCUCUCUUAGUAAAUCUCUUUAAAGGUACCACGAGUUUACACCAUUGAGAUCAAUUGCUUAAUGGUAUUAUGUCUAUGAUUUAUACGUCUAGAUCUACCAUUACAUGUGACUUAGUAUCUUAUCAAAUAUAGCUAGCCAAUGAUCGAUUCAUUUGAUAGAUACAAAUUAUCGCCAACAAGAAAUCCUCUCAUGAAGCUACAUGCCUCAUUAGCUUUAUCUAAAGCUUUAUCAAUUUCCAAACAACACUAUUAGAGGAUUUCUAUCUAAUUAUUACACUAGUCAACCAUGUUUAUAAGUGGAUUUCAGAAUCAUGGAUAUUCAAUAACAUCAUUGAAACAUUACCAUGCAUUUAAACUAUAUGAAUAUUCUUCAAAUAUUCCAAUUGUUCUUGCAAGUCUAAACAAACGCUAUAAUCGACUUCUACCCAGUUAAUCCACUUUAAACUUAGUAUAUAUCGUCCUUAUAAUUAGUAUAAGAGUUUUCUAUCUUUUCACCUUCAUAGAUAUCUUUCUAUAAUUAUAAGAUAAAAGCAAAUGUAACUGUUAAACUGAGUUACCCCCACAAUUCCUCAAUUAGGAAUACAUAUGCAAUCUAGUAACGUUGCAUCCACAAAUUUUAAACUUUUCAUUUCAAGUUCACAAGCAUUAAAUUUAAACCCCCACAUUCUUGGGUUAUACUUGAACUUAGAGUUCAUCAACACUUUUAUAGUUCUAUUCAUUUAUCUCUUAGAUAAUAUUCGUGUCGAGUGCUUCGUGAAAGUUAUGUACUUUCAAAGUAGUAGUCAUCAACUUGCAUAUAACGUACUUCAAUCUAAUUAAUUUUGAUCAUCUAAAUUAAAUCAAUGCCAUCAUAUAGUCCAGCAAUGCUUUCCAAGCAUAAACCAAUUUUAAUUGGUCUCACGAUUGAAGUCAAUUCAACAAUAAAGAGGGCUAAACAUUGCAACUUUUUCAAACAUAUGCAACUUAUCACAUUUGUGACAUUUCACAUGAUAGUUUUAUCUCAAUCAUCGGUUGAAAAAUUAUGUUUUCAAAAGAAACAAUCCUACAAGAGGACACACCUCUUGAAUUAAUCUCUAUAAAGAGACACACCCAUUGAAAAUUAAUCAUACCAAAAGUCAUGAUUCUCCAUAUGAAAAAACACAUCUUUCCAUGCAAAAUUUUUUACGAUUUCAAGUAAUUAAGUGGCUUAAUUCUCAUUACUAAAUAAUGAUAUCCACUUAAAUCAUCUCACUUAAUUUUAUGAUACUAAUUGAGGCUAUCAUCAUAGUCAAAGUUAGUAUAAUUUCAAUAAGAUAUUGAAUUUUAACCAACUAAUUUACCAUACCAUUAUCAUAUUUCAAUCAAAGGAAUCGUCAUGAAAGUUCAUAUACUUUCAUCAAAUAAUUGGCAUCUUUAUAUGUUAGAAAUAAUUUCCUUAUUUCCAUCCGUUCAUUAUUGGACUCGAGUUGUUUUUAACAAUAACCAAUUCAUCAUGACCAAUGUGAAGGAAUAACAACUUAUAUUCCAAACAUUUAUACAUUCAUUGUAUAAGUUUAUUCCAUUUAUAGGAAUGUUUACUUCCAUGUCAUAAGAGAUAUUGCAAUCUCACAUAGAAGAAAAUGGUCACUCACAAGUUCCCAAGAUGGACAUUAUACAGAAACAUCAUAUUUUUCGAGGUUAGUAGAAAAAUUUCACAAACUAGAAUGUUCAAAGUAUGGCAGAAUGUCAAGCGAAAAUCCAUUGGUUCAAAUUAUAGCAACAUAUGCAUUUAAUUAUAGUCACACAUGCUAUUUGUCUUUCCAAAUAUUUAUAGUACACAUGCCAUCUGUCUUUUUGAAUAUUUUCAUGAAACAUAUUACCAGAUGCAUGCAGAAAUCUGCAUAUGCUUAAGGAAAAAUGCGUAUGCAAAGAUGAAGAAAACUCUAUAAUUACAGUUAUGUUCAAACGUCUCCAUUCAUAUAUUCACAUAAUAUUGGGUUUUCAUGCACGCACCGGUUCAAAUUUUAUUUCCAUUUUAUGAUACAAAUAUAACAAAAUUUCAAAUUGCAGUUUUUGAAUAGAACCCAAUUUGUUCCAUUUAGUGAGUAGUAUAGUUGGCAGAUUCGAAACAGAAUAUACCAUUCACAACGAACACAAAAUUCAUCUUAAGAUUGUUGGGAAAAUUUACACCGAUUACGUGCAUAUUAUAUUCACAAAAGCAUACCGAUUAUUUGCGUGAAAUCGAAACGUAAUUUCGACUUACUUAAAUAGGAUUUGAGAAGCAAAACAUAAAAGUUACUGAAUCUGAAUGCAUGGAUAUGGAUUCAUCCCUUUCGAAUCUUGAACGAAAGCAAAUUAUUCUUUUGAUAGAACCUUGCAACAUAAACAUGUAAACAAAUGUUAAUCAUUUCCCGAAAUCAAAAUAACAAAUGUUAAUUAUUUCCCGAAAUCAAAAUAUAAUCCAAAGAAAUCAAAAAACUAUAGGAAGAAAGACGCAGGUGAUGAAUUUUUAGUCGAGACAAGUGUUUGACACUUGGUCCUUAAGAUUAAUUUGUCCCGCAUCGGUGCUAACGAUUUUUUGACAUUCAUCUCUCAAUAUACAAUGACUACGUCAAGCCAUAGGAGCACUCCAAAUGACUUCGACCAGCGAACUCGAACAAAAUUCUCUCUCUACCAAGGAAAUGCAUGAAAAUGCUAUCGAAUUAGAAAAGAGAGAAUUGUAAGAGGAGAAUGAAUGCUCAAUGCAAUUGGUGUAACCAACUAUGUCCAUAGGAUUCUAUUUAUAGAUGUAGAAAGGGUGCAAAUGAAAUAGUGUGGACCAAAACAUGCAUCCUUUCAAAAAGUUGCAACAAUUGACCAAAACCUUCAUCAUUUCGAAAAGUUGCAACACUUCAUUUCUUCCAAAUUUGAUCCGUAAUUUCUCACUCAUCUGGAUUUGAUUCCGAGAUUCCAAAUAUACCACGACGAUCUACUCGACGAGUAGAAUAAGUUGGUCUAUUUACUUUUGUAAUUUGACCAUCGAAUCAAGUCCAAAUAUUUGGUCGAAGUUGACACGUAGUCACACCUUUUCAUUUUCCACUUUUACACACCUUUUCAUUUUCCACUUUUACACACCUUUUCAUUUUCCAAUUUUUGGUCAAUUAUUUGAACCAAUUCCUACACCUUCUUUAUCAAACGGUUAUUUUCCAAGUUCACGUGUCAUUAAAUACCAAAGUUGUCCUUUUUUCUCGCGAUAAUAUGCUUCUCGUCUAAAUGAGUUAAUAAUUCGCGGUAAAAAUGAAGAAAAUUCGUUUUAUGGCAAGAUACAUUUUUCCAACCCAUUAAAAGUUUAUUUAAUUUAUAUUUUCUUUUACUACUAAUAAGUUAGAAUAUGCGAUACAACAAACAAUAAUAUUAAGCAUUUCUCGCUAUUGAAAUCAAGAAAUUUCACAAAAAUUGAUCAAGUUAAGCAAAUGUCAAUCUUUACUUAGGGGUCAAAACGAGAUUCUUAAUGUGACUAAUACCCAAAUGGUUGACCGCUUGGUGGAUAAAGGGGUGCACAAAAGAUAUGUAGAGAGUUUAUCUCAAAAUGAAAUUUUACCACACUUUCUCCUAUUAUAUUGAAUUAAUAAAGGAGUGAGGGAUGAGCACUACGUCCCCCUCUUAUCAACAAUACUACUUAAUCUCUCAAAUCACAACCUUUCGAGUCGAUAAAUUAAAAAAUUGUUGUCGUGAAGUUCUUACUGAUAUUUUCAUGUACUUGUGUUCUAAUUAUAGCAUUCAAGAAGUCUAUUCAUAAAAAAUAAAUAAAUAAAUAACUUUGGUAUUUGCUUGAUACCAGCAUUGAUUGUAAAUUUCUCUAUAUUGUAUCUAUAAUGGCUCAACAUUUUGAAGACAAUCAAGACUGUCAAGUGUACUCACUUUUAAUUUGGCUUAUAAUCUUGGCCUUCAAUUUUACUUUGUGAUUCCAAUCAAGGAUACAAAAGAACACGCUUCUGAUUAAAUCAAGAAAAAAACCCAUUAAGUUAAUCUAAUGCAAGCUGUCACGCCUCAACUUUUGGAGAAGUCCAUUUUAUUAAAAAGUUUUACGAUGAAAGAUGAGACUUAUAUCGUUGAAAUCCCCCUUCACGUGCAUACAAUAUUGUGUUUUCUUCGAAAGAAAAAAACACGAUUUUAGUUCCCAUUGAUAACCUACUGGUGAAAUUGCACCACAGGUCCCUGAGUUAUUGUUUGAGUAAUUAUUUUCAAAAUUUUAAGAUAGAGCAAAUUGAUUCUUAACCUCUUAUUGUAGUUGCACAAUUCAUCUUUAAAGGAUAAAAGUUAGGGAUGGCAAUUCCCUUCCCUCUUUCCGCCCGCAUUGCCCCACCUAGAAUAAGGCAUGAAAUUCCAUCCCGAAUACUAAAAGAGAUGGUGAUGAGGAUGCGGAACAUAGUCCCAUCCUGAAUCUAUUUAUUUUAAUAUGUUUUUAUAUUUUUCAAAUUAACUUGUGUAUAUAAAAUUAAAAAUUAAAUUAAAUAGUUAAUUAAACAAGGUGUUAGAAGAGAUUUUUUUUUUUUUUAUAAUUGUUGUCUGCCUGUCUCUCCAAAAUUUUAGACAGAACGAAAAUGUUAAUGAAAAAUCCGAGCAUGUUCUGUUGCUAUCUCUAAUGGAAAUUGUUCAAAUAUCUCUUAAAUCAUCAUGCAAUCAUCAUAGGAACAUACUCACUUUACUAGACAUCAAUUAAAGUUAGAAACUAAGACAUAGCUUUGGUUGAUGGAAAUUGAUUAUACGACUAUAAUUUAAAGUUAGGAAAAACUUGUUCAUAUUUGAAGAUUAGAGAUCUAUUUACUAUUUGAACAAUAUAUUAAGGAUCGAUCGUGCAUUUUUAACAUAAAGUACAGUAUUUUUCACUAUGGUAACAACUUACAAGCUUCUUUUUCGUUUUUAUUCCCUCUGUGAUUGGUAGAAAACUAAUAUAUUCUGCCGAUGUCCUCUUUUUGCUGUGCUGAAAAUAACUAUGCUUUUCCCAAACCCACCUCUUCUCCUCCUCUAUCGCUCAGGCCAUAUUGUCAAAGCAUUCACACUCUCCCAGUCUCUGAAGCACCAUUCCAUCUAUAAGCUUUCUUUGCAUCCACUUGGGAUUCUGGUGCAAAGUUAAGAGGUAUAAAGAACUCAUCUUGUUCUUUUUCUUGCAAUAAUUCCAACGGUUAGUUCCUGGGUAUUGUAAUUUUCUUGGAAAUGUUAGAAUUUGCUAAUUUGCUCAUUUUAAUCCUAUGUAGUUGUAGUAAUGUUCUUGUGAGUUCUUUGAAUGAUGAAGGUUUUGCCCUUUUAGCAUUCAAGCAAUCAAUCAAAGAAGACCCUGAAGGGUCACUAAAUAACUGGAACUAUACUGAUGAAACCCCUUGUUCUUGGAAUGGCAUUACGUGCAAAUAACAAAGAGUUAUUUCUGUUCGCAUUCCAAAUAAGAAACUCACUGGGUUUCUUACUUCUUCUCUUGGAUCUCUGUCUGAGCUUAGACAUGUGAAUUUAAGAAAUAAUAAGUUUUCUGGAACCUUGCCUUCUGGGCUUUUCAAGGCUCUUGGGAUGCAAAGUUUGGUGCUUUAUGGAAAUUCUCUUUCUGGGUCUCUUCCAUUUGAGAUUGGGAACCUUAAUUACCUUCAAAAUUUGGAUUUAUCUGUGAAUUUCUUUAACGGGUCUUUGCCAACAUCAUUGAUUCAGUGUAAAAGGUUGAGGACUCUUGAUCUCAAUCAAAAUAAUUUUAGUUGUUCUUUGCCUAAUGGGUUUGGGAAAAACUUGGCUUUGUUGGAAAAGCUCGAUCUUUCUUACAAUAAUUUUGGUAGUUCCAUUCCUAGUGACUUGGGAAAUUUGUCCAAUUUACGAGGGACUGUUGAUUUGUCUCACAAUAUGUUCAAUGGUUCGAUUCCAUCUAGUCUUGGUAACCUUCCUGAGAAAGUUUAUAUCGAUCUGACCUUUAACAAAUUAAGUGGUCCAAUUCCGCAAAAUGGUGCUCUAGUAAAUCGAGGACCAACAGCCUUUAUUGGAAACCCGAGACUCUGUGGCCCACCAUUGAAAAAUCUUUGUUCUUCUGAUAGUGAGGCUAGUUCUCCUUCUUCAUUUCCUUUCUUGCCUAGUAAUAACCCUCCACAAGGUGGAGAUAAUGUAGGAAAAGUUAAUGGCAGACGAGGGCUGAGUAAAGCUGCUGUGAUUGCCAUUGUUUUGAGUGACAUGAUUGGAAUUUGCGUUAUUGGUUUCCUUUUCUCAUACUGUUACUCGAGAGUUUGCUCUUAUGGCAAGAGAAAACAUGGAAACGGGUAUGGUUUUGACCAGAAGGGAAGCAAGGGGAGGAAGGAAUGUUCAUGUUUUAGGAAAGAUGAAUCAGCGACUUUAUUAGAAACUGUAGAACAGUAUGAUCUAGUGCCGCUGGAUGCAAAGGUGGCCUUUGAUCUUGAUGAACUUCUUAAGGCGUUGGCUUUUGUGCUCAGAAAGAGUGGCAUUGGAAUUGUGUACAAAGUUGUGCUCGAGGAUGGGCUCACCUUGGCUGUGAGAAGAUUGGGUGAAGGAGGUUCACAGAGGUUUAAAGAAUUCCAGACAGAAGGUGAAGCAAUUGGAAAGCUGAGACAUCCCAAUAUUGUGACCCUUAAAGCCUAUUAUUGGUCAGUGGACGAGAAACUGUUGAUAUACGAUUUCAUACCAAAUGGGAACCUUGCUACUGCAAUUCAUGGUGAGUUUUACAGCUUAAGAAACUUGUUUAAUGUAGUCAAUUUGGUUGCAUAUUAGUUUACUUAUGUCUUAUUUUACUCGAUUGUCUUGUUUGCUGUAAUGUCCUCAGGAAAUCCUGGAUUGGUAAGUUCUACGCCACUUCCUUGGUCUAUGCGAGCGAACAUAAUGAAAGGAGUUGCAAAAGGCUUGCUUUAUCUGCACGAGUAUAGUCCCAAAAAGUAUGUACAUGGAGAUCUGAAGCCUUCUAAUAUACUGCUUGGACAUGAUAUGGAGCCCAAAAUCUCUGAUUUUGGACUUGGGCGUCUCGCUAAUAUAUCUGGUGGGUCCCCGACCCUGCAAUCCAGUCGUAUGUUCUCCGAUAAACCACAACACAGAGAACAAAGCAGUACACCUUCAGAAGUUGCGACAGUUGCCUCUGCUGCUUCUUUUGGAUACAACUAUCAAGCUCCAGAGGUACUGAAAGUAGUGAAGCCAUCCCAAAAGUGGGACGUCUACUCGUAUGGAAUGAUCUUACUGGAAAUGAUUACUGGAAGAUCACCAAUAGUUCAAGUCAGGAACUCGGAAAUUGAUCUCGUUCAUUGGCUGCAGCUCUGCAUCGAAGAGAAGCAGCUACUUUCCGAUGUGCUAGAUCCACACUUGGCUCAGGAUGCCGAGAAAGAAGAGGAAAUGGUCACUGUUCUAAAGAUUGCAAUGACAUGCACGCAGAGCAGUCCCGAACGAAGACCUACAAUGAGGCGUGUCUUUGAGGCAUUGGAAAGAAUAUCUGUUUCAUCCGAUUAGCUGAAAUUCAUAUUCAUCUAUCCAUUAGUCAGGAUUUCGUUAAUAUUAUGAUGUUUUGGAGCUGGGAACGGGACAAAGAUGCGAGCACGAGAUUUCUUGAUCACACCACUAGCUAUAGAAUCUCUUCCCUUGAGUGCCAAAAAAACUAGUUGACUUUAAGUUUGCUUUAAGAGCAUGGUGUUAUAGGCUGUGACUGUUUCUUCAUGUGUGUAUAUAUAAGAAUGUUAUUUGCUUGUCUUAUUGUAGACCUUUUGUUUGUUUAUUGUUCUUCUGGUCAGAAAAUUAUUUGUUUUCCCUGCAUGUGAACAAAUCUUCUUUGGAAUUUUUCCCAUGGCAGUAUUUGCGAGAAAUCUUGGUCUCAUUUGAGAGAGGUAGGUGGGUGGGGAUCGGGGGGUAUUAUAGACUUUUCCAUGGAAAAUACAGGUAAAUAACACCAUUAGUCCGUAAAGUUUAUUAAAUGUCACACUUUAGUCUAGGAAUUAAUACCUAAUUUUAACACAGUUUUGUCCCUUUUUUCUUUAUUAUUUUUUCUUUUUCUUUUUCUUUUUUUUUUUUUGAGAAGUUAUUGUGAUGUUCGUCCAAUUUACAUAUCACUUAAGGCAUUUGUGCAUAAAUUUUUCCACAGAAUUUGGCCAGAUUACUCUCAUGUGUGGGACUCACCGUGAAUAAAAAAUUGCCAAAAAACACCCCCACCCACCCCACCAUGUGUGUGUUCUGGCACUGUACACACAGUUGGUUUGUUUACAUAUUUCCGUCGACGAAUGCUUAUGAGUAGUUAUUAUGUCCAUGUUGGGGAAUGUUAACACAAAUGUUUAAAGUUUUGUGAUUCAAUUCAGUAACAAAUUUGUGUGACGUACAAAGUUGGAGCGAGAACUUAGUCAUGGCGCGUUGCACACGAGUCAUAUUUAAGAAAAUGUUGUAGUAUGGGAUUUUUUACCUACGGAGUAUGUUUAGAAGCUAAUGCACUGUAAAUAAAGAUCAUAUAGGCGAUGUUGAUGUUGGAUAGCACAGACCAAAUGAUGACUAUGAUCUUUCGUCCUUCUUCAGUGAAGUUUUAGACAUAGAUUGACUAUUAAUAGGGCUUAUAAACCCUCUUAGAAGAAUUUUAGGGUCGUGCCAAAGGAAAUAUAUAUAUAUAUAUAUGGUGAUGAGUGUGUCAAGGAGUCUAUGGCAUUUUAGCUCUUGUUUAGCCCUAAUUUUUUAAAACUCAUUUUUUCACUUUGUUUUGAAUCACACAUUUUAUGAAAUUCACAACUUUUGUUAAUUUCUAAUCAGACAUUUCAUCACAUUUUAUUAAAAUUUAUUGAAAACCAUAUUUUCAACUAAAUCAAAUAGGGCUAAUUGCUGCCGUAGUUGGCAUUAGGAUCUUUUUUAAAUUUUCGUUUCAUUGUUACUUAUCAUGAUAUCUAUUAAUCAUGGUUUACGUGCCUACGCAUAAUAAUCUUUUUUUUAAAUAUUAUUUAAAUUAAUUUAGACUAAUAAAUAAAUAAAAUGCAUACCUUAAAAAUUUGUACGAAUUUCGUACCUUUUUUUUUUAAGUUUUCUAAUAAUAACAUAGAUCUCAAAAUCUUAAAUAUCCUAAAUCAAUAAUGCUUUGUUCGUGAACAGAGAGCUAUUUUGCUGGGGCUAAUUUUGGGUUAGGGUAGAUUUUUUUAUUUUUUAUUUUUUGAAACUUAUUUAUUUUAUUUUUUUAAGUUUUAUCGAUUGAAAAUUCUGUUGGUUUGGACUUUAUAACGUAAUAAGACAAUGUCACACGCCAAACAAAAUGGUAUGCCAAGCAUCUAGAUAGACUUUUUUUGAACCCUACAAUAAUGAUGAAUAACUGAAAAUAUUUGAUAAACCACCAUGUAUUGCUACUGGCCAUGGUUUCAUUAUAUAAGAAUUUUACAACAGAAAAUAAGGCAAGAAUAUUUCUGUACAAGGCAGCCUAUGCAAUGUAAUCUUAUUUUCUAUAUUUAGGGAAUUGAUUGGAAUCAUGAGAUUGAGAGGAGGAUCUGGGAGAUACGUCCAUAACUGCAGUACCCCCGCAAGCCUAGCGUAUCAGAAUCAUGGACGCAUAGCUUGGAGUGUAGGAAGAGGAAGGUAGGUCUGUCGAGACUUUUGGUGAAAAUGUCUGCAAGUUGUAACUGAGUGGGGACAUAUUUUAUCUUGAGGUUGCCAGAGGCCACUAGUUCCCAUACAAAAUGAUAAUCCAAAUCAAUGUGCUUAGAGCAUUUGUGAGAGACCGAACUAACAACAAGGAAGAUCGAGCUUUGAUUAUCACAAAGUAUGGCCGGAGGAGAUGAAUGAGAGACACGAAGAUCACGAAGAAGAUGUUGGAGCCAUUUAACCUCGGAGGCCGUGAGUGCUAAAGCCCUAUAUUCAGAUUCACAGCUAGAACGUAAAACUGUCGGGCUGCUUCUUAGAGCUCCAAGACACUAGGUUGUCACCAAAAUAGAUUGCAUAACCAGAAAUCGAGCUACGCGUGUCAGGGCAACCCGUCCAAUCGGGAUCGGAAUAAGCAAGGAGUUCUUGAGACGAAGACGAGGUGAAGGAUAAACCAAACCGAAGAGUUCCCUUGAUACAUCACAUUAUCCAUUUUACUGCCAGAAAGUGAGAGAUAGAGGGCUUGUGCAUGAACUAACUAACGGUACUAACGGCAUGAGUGAUGUCUGGCCGAGUGAUGGUGAGAUAUUGGAGAGCUCCCACAAGUGAUCGAUAGAGGUGCGGAUCAUCAAAGUCAGGGCCUGUGGUGGAAAGACGUUGAGCGACCACUAUGGGAGUACAAACCGGUUUGGAGUCAACCAAAUUUAGCAAGCUGUAAGAUAUCAUGAGCAUACUUGGCCUGGAUAAGGAAGAGACCAAAAGAUGUGCGAUGGGCUUUCAAUCCCAGAAAGUAAUUCAGAGAACCAAGAUCUUUGGUGAAAAAUUCAAUAUUCAGCCGACGAAUAAAGCCAUCAAGGAGUGUCGAGUUGUUGCCAAUUACGACAAUGUCAUCAACAUAGAGCAAUUGGUAAAUUAAGUCAGCACCCUUGGAAAGAACAAAUAAGGAGGAAUAUGCUUGACUGCAAACGAAGCCAAUGGCCAAGAGAAAAGAGCUGAAGCAUGAAACCAAGCUCUUGGCGUUUUUUUAAAACCAUAAAGAGUCGACGAAGGCGGCAAACAUAUGUGGGAUGUUUAGAGUCAACAUAACCAGGCGGCUGAUCCAUAUAGACUUCUUCCUGUAGGAAACCAUUAAGAAAUGUAUUUUUAACAUCAAGCUGUCGAAGAGGCCAAUUAUGAGAGACGGCCAAGGAUAAAACAACUCGAACAGUGGAAGCUUUGACAACAGGACUGAAGGUAUUAGUGAAGUCAAGACCUGGUUGUUAUGUGUAGCCCUUUGCAACCAAGCGGGCCUUAUGUCGAUCAACAGUGCCAUCUGAAAGCUAUUUGAUGCGGAAAACCCAUUUAGAGCCCACAACAUUUGCGUUAGGCAAUUUAGGUACCAAGUCCCAUGUAUGAUUUUUGCGAAGGGCCUGAAUUUCUCUAUCCAUGGCUGCAAUCCAUCCAGAAUGUUUAGCAGUGGACUUGAAGCCUUUAGGUUCGUGCAUGGUGAGAAGAGAUUCAAGUAGGCCGGAGUUAGGGACCAUGCACACAUGAGAGCGGUGGAUAGGCUUGAAAAUGCCAGAUUCUGCACGAGUUUACAUUGGAUGGGUGCCAAGUGGAGGAGGCUAGCUCGAGCAUACUUUAGUGACAAGAGUUGGACUGGCAGGCAAUAGCUCGGAGUCAUGAGAAGGACUCUGCACUGUGUGACUAGUAGGGUUAUCACUUGCAUCUUGCAAAAUAGACAUAGGCACAAGACUAGUAGAUGCAUCAGUAGAACAAGAAUUACAAGGAGUUGGUAUGGAAUCGGGUUGAGUAGGUGAUGAGGCCUCUGGGAUAGCAUUGGGCUCAAGAAAUGCACUAACAAGAGAGUUAGGCAUGGACGUAGGGCAGGGAGUUCCCUGAAAGGGAUAAUUGAGUUCAUCAAAAACUGCGUGCCUAGAGAUAAAAACAUGAUUAGUGGAGCGAUCAAGACAACGAUAGCCAUUAUGAGACAUACUAUAACCAAGAAAAACACAAGGACAACUACGACGAGCUAACUUGUGAGAUGUAUAAUCACGUAAGUACGAAAAUACAAGGCAGCCAAAGGAAUGAAAAUUAGAGUAUAUGGGAGGCUUACCAUACAGCAUCUCAAAGGAGACAUGCCAUCAAGAGUAGGUGUCGGCAACCGAUUGAUGAUGAAAGCAACUGUGCUAAAAACAUCAACCCAAGAUUUAAGAGGAACAUAGGAGUGAAAAAGCAUUGCAAGACCAGUUACCGUUAAAUGACGGUGUUUGCACUCGGCGCGAUUUUUUGGGCUGGUGUAUAAGGGCUAGACAUUUGAUGACAUAUGCCACAGUUUGAAAGGUGAUUUGUAAAUUCUAUGCCUCCAUCACUUUGAAAAGCUUUGAUUUUAGCAAAAGAUUGAUUUUCUACAAAUUUCUGAAAUUGAAGAAAAAUGCCAUAAAAUUUCGGAUUUUAAUUUCAAAGGAUAAAACCACGUGAAUCGUGAAUAAUCAUCAACAAAAAUUACAUAAUAUUUGUAACCCAUAUUAGAAGAAAUGAGGGAUGGGCCCCAUAAAUCACAAUGAAUUAGAUUCAACAUAUUAGAAGCUCGUUUUUCAUUUAGUUGAGAUGGGAGUGCAAGACUUUUCGCAAGUUGACAGCUAGAGCAAAUAGUGGGGUUUGGGAGCAAGGAAGUCACACAUAAUUGGUGAUUUUUAUUCAAUAGAGAAAUAAUAGAAUGAGAUACAUGGCCUAAGCGAGCGUGCCAAACAUCAAAAGAAGCUCGAGGACAAUUAUUGGAAAGUACAGAAAGUAAAGAGUCAUGGUCGUGCUUGAGCACAUAGAGACCAUUUUCAUGUUGCCCGGUUGCCACCACCUUUCUUGUGACCUGAUUCUGUUUAAAAAAGCGAUCAUUAGUGAAUGUGAUAGAGAAACGAAAAUCAGUGGUAAGUUUGCUGAUGGAUAUAAGAUUUUUGGUUAAGCCAAGCACAAGUAGGAUAUCUUUUAAAGUAAGAGAAGGGAUAGGAAAGGCAGAACUGAUAUGAGAGAUGGGAAGAGAGGCACCAUUACCAACAACAACGCGAUCCUUACCAGUAUACUUGUCAUACUUGUGCAGCUGGGAGACAUCAUUAGUCAUGUGUGACGUUGCACUAGUGUCCGUAUACCAAUCGGAUUCCCGAAGUAUUUGAUAAACCACCAUGUAUUGCUAGUGGCUAUGGUUUCAUUUACAACAGAAAAUAAGGCAAGAAUAUUUCUGUUCAAUGCAACCUAUACAAUGUAAUCUUAUAUUCUAUAUUUAGGGGAUUGAUUGGAAUCAUGAGAUUGAGGGGAGGAUCUUGGAGAUCCGUCCAUAACCGUAAUAAUAACAUUAUUGUUUCAAACAACAUUGAAGUCUCAAAAUUCCUCUCAAUCCAAAUUCCUGGAGUUCUGGGCACAAAAUAGAAAAGCAGACAUGACAAUUGUAAAGACAGUUUAGGUUAGGACUGAAGUUUUGGCCAUUGACAUGUCCUCCUUAUGUGUGAAAGGGAACAUGGCAACUCAUAAGUAGGGUUAAUGUUAUGUGUAUUUAGACACCCCUCAUUUCAUAAUAUAUGCAUCCUUUAGAGUAAUGUUUCUGCUAUAACUUUUCCUUUUUCAUUUAUAUAUAUUUUCAUUCUCCUCUAAAUAUUUUAUUUUACUUGUUGAAAGCUAAAUUUAACCCUUGUGUCAAGUUGAUUUUCGAAAAGUGAUAUUUUGAAAAUUGUGUAGUUAAAAAGUAUGAAAAAGUUAUGAGAAAAUAUGAAAAAAAGUGAUUUUUUUAGAAACGGAUUUACACAGACCAGCAUUAAUGGAGACCUGGGUGGAGGUGGGUGAUUAUUUUUAAAAAAAAUCACCCUUCCCUUCUUGUGUGUGGCUUGUACAGCCCGCACAACUCAAAUUGUAGCAUGUUUAGGAGUGAUUUUCCCCCCAAAAAAUUAAUUUUUUGAUCGUUAUUUUAUUAUUCCAGUCGUCAUAUUUGACUUCUUCUCUCACAGGUGGACCCCACUUUUCUCCUAACGAUCAAAAAAUCAAUUCUCAAAAUCACUCCCAAACAUGCUCUCGGUAUGGUACAUGACUUUUUAGCAGCAGGGAUUAUCUCAUGUUUUCCACUAUUUGAAAUAAUUGCCAUCCGCAUAUCAUGCCUACUCUGCUGGAAAUCUAUACCAAGUGGUAGAUUUUGGGUUCGAAAAUUGUCAACGUACGUUUCGCAUGCAUUAUACAAUAUUGAAUUGAUGACUAAAUAUAAUAAAUGAAAACUAAGUUUUUACAUUUUCCAGAAAUUGUUAUUUGAGUAAAAUAUUAUUAUUAUUAUUAUUUUUAAAGCAUUUGCUAUAAAUUACACAGCAUUUUGAAUUUAGAGCAUUUCUUGGAGAUGUUCCUAAAAUGGUAGGUAUAUUUACAUUAAUAUUGUAGUAUAAAAUUAUAAUUACAUAUUUAUCUUGCAAUUAUUGGUUUAUAUUCAUGCGAAGCAACUCUUCAAAUAACUCAAAAACGUAUGCUUACAACAUUUUUUUUAUCCAAAGUUAAUUUUAUUUUCAACGUAUUUCCUAGAAUGACAGUCCACAACUAAAUAACAAUUUUAUGGAACAAUAGUAGAAAACAAAGGUAAAAUAAUUCUUCCAAACGGGCCCUUAAAUUGUUUUGCAUGUGAUUAGCUCGAUUACAAUAUUUUUUUUUUUAGGGAAAAACCUCGAUUAAAUCUAUGCAUAAUUGUCCUUGCACAUUAAUUUGGACUGAUACUUGGUUUGAAAUGAUGCAGUAAAAAAUACAACUGCUGAAGUAGACAAUGAUAUUUCAAUGCUCAAAUUGACAUACACAUACAUAUAUGAAAAGUAGGCUAAUCAAGAGAAUUGCAUCUUAAUAAAUUUUGGAAACAUACACAAGUUUGUAUAACAACAGAUAAAUCUCCAAAUUGUGGCUGAAAAUAGCAAAAAAUGCACGUUCUGACUUGAGAGGCGUCGCACUUCACAUAAUAGAAAUUAGUGGCACGGCCCACUUUGACUACCCGAAGGAAAAUUAGACAUCAGAAUCCAAUGCUUGGAAAUAAGCAUUAACAGAAAAAAACUAAAAGAAGCAUGAAGAAAUAAAAGAUAAUGACAACACAUUGUAUAUUCUGUUAAAUAAAGUGUCACGAGAUGUUCCUGUCGCUCAUCCUUUCGGUCACCUCACCAUGAAAGUGUGACACCAUGAGCGAAUAAGUCGAAAGAGGAGGAGGUAUGUAAUUCCCAUCGUAUAUGAAGAUAGCUGCUUAACAAUUGCUACACGACAGCUCAUGAUCCGAUAACUUACUGUCAUAAUGGCUUAGAUGUUGGACUACACAAGGGUAUAGUUGUUCCGCGGCCUGUGAGUAUCAGAUAAAGUUUGAAUUAUUAAAGUGAGUGAAUAAGUUAGGGAGGUGGGUCAGGGGCAGACAAUUGAGGAAAGGAAAACAUUUGUAUACCAUUCGUCCUCCCACCAAAUCAUAAUGAGCAUAAUGAGGACCGUCACGCUCUCCGAAUACUUUAUAUGUAACCAAAUGCUCGGGAAUGAGUUUCACUGUUUCUGCUCGAGAUAAUGCACGGAAGAUGAAAGAAAGGUUAACUAAAUAAAAUAACUCCCACAGAAUUAACUCAUUUGGAAUCAAUUUGCUAAAAGAACAUACACUUUUGCUAUAUUGGAAUCAAAAGAGGCAAUUAUUCUUAUGAAUGGGGUAUAGUAUGCACCAUGGGAAGUAAUAUAGUUUUCGGAUCAAGACCACACACCAUAUACAGCUUCUGGAGGACAAAUUAAGUCACGAUCUCCAGCAAGAGCCAAGACAGGUACAUUGCUUUUAUGAAGGUGAUCCUUGUAGAAAAAUUGACAGCUUCUAUCACGGAGCCCCCCCUCACGAAAAGCAGUUGUCAGCUGCAAUAAAAGUUUAGCAGGAACAGUACCUGCCAGUGGUGAUGAAACUCUAUAUAUUAAUGACAUUGAAAUUGAUUUAUGCCAAGUUUAACAGUUUCCAAACCCAAGAUAAGAAAAUUCCAUAAAUUUGGACGCAUUCUCGUGAAACUUAAUUCUGGCUCUUUUCCAUGUUCAAUAAGUAGAUGAUCUAUAGAUGAUUGACGCAUCAAGGCCAGACUGAAGCGCUUGACCCUUUAUUUGUGUAUCGACUUGUGUUCAAGAAAUCGUUUCAGCAGACACAGAACAGAAUAUUUGAUAAUAAUUAGAUGCAACAAAACAAUAACAACAAAUCUUUCAUAUCUCAUUAGAGGCAAGGGGAAGUUGGUGGCAGUUGUUCACAUUUAAUGAAUGUGAUCCCAUGUAGCAUUCUAAUUUAGCUUAACAUCCAUAUCCAUACCCACCCAACCCUUAAGCGCAUAAAUAAAUUGACAAGCUGAUAAUAAUAUGCAGUGGAAAACAUUUGACUUACAAAAGUUAUUUAGAACAAGCUUCUUCAACAGCUCUGGAUGCAUCAUAUCUUGUGCUGAUAUUAGGUCAUUGAGCCAUGAUAAGACAUAAGGUGGACGAGAUGACAGCGGAUAAGCUGCAGACAGUAAUGCUCCUAAUGGAACAACAGGCACAUUGAGAGCCUGUGCAGGAUCAGCCUGCAAGACAACUACAUUGUAGUACUGCCCAGUAGGAGGUAAUAAUUUUCUUUAAUCAGAAAGGAGAUGGACCAACAAGGAAAUGCUACUUACGAGGGGUAGGAGUAGUUUGAGCGAGGAUUUAGAAGAUGUGUAGUCAAGUGAUGACGCUAAUGUUACGAUAGCUGCUAAUCUGGGAUCUCUUCCUUCGAAACCUUUUAAAAUUAAAUGCAUUGCGAGAACAUGUCAAAACUCAGCGAUGGAAAAAUUGUACUUACUGAAAUGUGCAUAUCAUAAAGAGCAAUCAUGAAAUUACACAAACAUAAUAUAUCGAACAUUGUUUGAGAAAGUUGUCCGAGACUAGCGUCUUGAGGCAUGACUAGCAUGAGGCUUCCAUUAAAAGCCUGCAUAUGCCUCAGUGCCAUUUAUCCAGGCUUACGCCUCAAAGGACUGAGGCUUACGAGCAACUGAGGUGUGUGCUCGUAUAUGACUGAAAUCAAAGUUUUUGGUGAUUUCAUAUUUAUAGCCUGGAACAUUUUGUGGGAUUCUUUUUUGAUCUCCUCUCCUUUAUAUGAAAGGCAAAUGGAAAGAGAAAGGAGAAUGCAACAUUGCAAGAGGAGGAUGAGGCAAAGAAUGAAAAAAAUGUUAUAACAAGAAUGAUACUAGGGGGAAUCAAAUAGGUUGAUAAUCUCUAAUGAUCAUAUAAGUAGUGAUGACAUCAGUGACCUGGGUUGUUUCUACUUCUAUUAUCACGUUACAUAAAUCUAGGUCCAACUUUCAAGACUCAGGUUUUGGGUCCAAAAGGAAUAAAUUUGGGUCUCCACAUAACAAAAAUCAUCAAUUUGAAAGUUAAAAUCACAAGAAUAGAAAUAAAUGUUAAGUGGUUUAACAGUUUUACACUCCAGGUGUGCAUCGUAUGAAAGUCACAUUCGAUUUCAACACUUAUACCAAUGGUUUGGACGCUUGGGGACCCAAAGUCAUCAUUUAAAUAGAUUGGGGAUUUAAAACCACACUGUGAAAAGUUGGAGAGCACAACCUUAUUUUAACCUUUAAAAAUUUCCAAAUAAGCAAAAUGGACAUAGUUUGUUAAAAAAAAUCUUCAAUGCUACAUUAUCUAGAGCUCCAUCUAAUUUAGGGGCUGUGUUGGACAUGUUGACAACAAUUUAUUUAAUUUUGUUUAUGUUUUAAUAGCAUUGAAUUUCUCGUUCUUCUUAUUCAUUUUAUUCAUUUAUUUAUUUAAUUUUAGAUUAGAUAAAAGACAUGUAGGGAAUAUUAUUGGCGGCAGAUAGAACCUAAUAUAGACCAAUUUUAGGCAGUGUUUAUGCAUUAGACACCGAUACUACGUAGACUGCAAGUCUUUCAACUUGCCUAUGACGUUGACUAUAAUUCAUAGAAUGCAUUGGAGACGCUCUUACAAUCUGCAUUUGCAUGUUUUCAAGUGAAUCACAAGUAAAAUUAAUGCUAUUUAUAUAAAUUAAAUAUAGGAGUCCAACUUACCAUAUCGUGACAGCAUCGCAUAUAGCAAGAUACCACCCAUUGAAUGUCCAAUUGCAAGCAAUCGACCAUCCUUUGGUUUGCUUUGGGCCCUUAUGUAUUCCAUCUACAACAUUGGAAAUGGAUAGCACAAUGAUUAUGAAUGCCAAAAAGCAAUAAAUAAAUAGUCAGCAUAAAAGGUCACCAGAUGUCAAAAAUUAUGUUUUAGCUUGAACUACGGGGUUAAAUAAAGAGUGAUAGCAUGGUAUGACCAUCAACAAGGAGAAAUGUCACCUCACCGCAGCAGGAACAUCUUCUUCAAGGUAAUGAUCGAAGUCCCACUCAUAUUUGAUAAUCAAGUCCAAUUGUUUCUGGAAAUCUUCUAUGGUAGUAAUCAGUCGCUCUUGCAGAUCAAACAACUGAGGUGAAACAGAACGCUGACCUUCUUCAAUAAUAUCUACUAGUUUUUGACUUAGAUCCCUAACUUGGCCAGCAACAGCAGAGUUCUGCCUUGUUUCCAGCAAACUCAGUAAUUUCCCCCUUACCUCACUAAAGCGUUCAAAAAUGAACGAAUCCUCUAAGAGUCUUGAUAUUUGAUCAAAAAAUUUAGCAGACAUUAUGUUGAAUUGACUUUCACUGAGAAAGCCAGAGAGUCUUUCAGAUAAGCGCAUAAAUGUUUCUGUCAAUUUUGUCACCAAUUUUGAUUCAUCCCAUGCUGUUGCAAUCCUUGUUGGUUCGUUAUUGGCUACAGCUAUCUCAGCUUUUUCCAAGUCAUUCUGGGUAUUGGUUGACUGCUGCUCUCUGGAAGGAAGUCCAUUGGUUACGUUCUCAACUGCAGCUUCCAUGAAUUCAGACAUUGGAUGAGCUGAUUUCUCAAAAUCUUUAGCAUCUGAUCCAUGCAUGCUCAACCCAGCUCCUCGAACUUCAAGAAUCCAAGUAUCAAAUCCUUGACCACACAUGUAACGGGCAAAUGAAGACUGCAAAAUUAUAGUUUAGAAAUUAUGAUUAGUAUAGCAUAAUUGAUAGAUUAAUCGUAUCUUGUUGAUGUGCUGUUCUCUUGGACAUCAUAUAGCAAAAAUAAGAUGCUUUCACUCCCAAUCAAUGCAUAUUAUGCAGCAUUUCAAGAGAGACAAUACAUGAAAACAGGCAAAUUUUUAAGUUAUCAUAACUGUUAGUUUUUCAAUAACUUAGCUUAAUUUUGAGGACAUGCAAAGAGGAAUAAUAAAUCUCAUUAUUUAUCUUAAAAGAAAAAAUGAAUCUAUACAAUAGAUACUAAUGAUCCAUUAAUAGGAUAAAUCCCAACUAAAUCUUGCCUCUAGUUGAGGACCAUUUCAUGAACUGACCAUUCCUUUCAAAAAUUUCCACGGCGCAAGAGGGAACACAAGUAUAGGCCAAGACGACUCCUAAACUACUUUUGUAUAAGAACAAGUGGAAAACACUUAUAUAAUUAUUUCACAAAGAUUAAACUUAAGCUGGUUGUUUUCUUUCCUCUCUUUACUGAUGGCAACUAAAACUUUUCCUACACAUGUAGAAGUCAUAUAAACUAACCCCAGGAGAAAGAUCAUAUCCAAUGGCAUUUGUUCCCACACCAGAUAGCAGCAGCAGAGGAUGAUUUCGUGGCGGUGCCUGUUUUCAAACAAUUUAAACAACAUACUUAAAUAAGUUCUCUUUCAUACAUAACAGCAAUAGUCACUUGUAUCCCAUAAAAAGAGAACAAUUUUCUCCAAAAAAGAUAGCCAAAUGUUAGGAGCACCCUUGAUUACACGAACAAGCACGAAAUGUCAAAGUUUGAUUAUCCCCGCCAGUAGCAUAUGCAGAAAUUUACAGAAGAUCAUCUAUAAUUGUAUAAAAUGUAUAGUUAUUAUUCAACAGGCGAAUUUAUUGUCUCCUGCAACGUGUAUAUAGAAGCUCAUUCCAGCUCAUCAAGUGAUAAAGUUCUACAUGGAUCAUUAAUUAUCUAACGCAAUUUAUACAUAGAAAAUUACGCUACUCAAUUAACACCGCCCUAGGGCAAAAAUUGCAACCUGACCCGUGAACUAGCACAAUAUGCAUUUAUGUAUGUAAAUGUGAAAAGGGGAACCUGAGGAGAAGGAUUGUAGCGCCAGAGGGCGAGGCGCCAGCCGGAAUUGUUGACGGAGACAUAGUGGAUCUCGUCGGCUGUGCAUAUCGGCGGUUUGUUCGGUAGUUUCUCGACAUCAUCGAUUUUUUCAUCUUGAGUGUCGUUGGUUGAGAAGGCUCGGGUUCUCGCCGUGGCGGUGGUCAGGGUGAGCGAGCGGCCGAAUGCGGCAACGCGUGGGAGCGAGAAGCAGUUACGGAGGCGGUGGUGUCCGCGACGGCAGAUUGCUCGCAAUGAGCGCGUACCCUCCACUUGUUAGAAGUGUGACUCAAAUAGGAGUCUAAAUUGCGUUAAAUUUCUUACCUUUUUUAGGACUCUUUUAGGACUAGAUUUUAUACUAUAAAUACAGGACUUCUCUUUCAGUAUUGUUAAAAAAAAACCUAUUAUUGUUGUAAUUCUCUCCUUUUAUUGAUUGAAUAAAAUAAUAUCGUUCAUUUGCCAGUUCUUUUAUUUCUUUACUUUAAUCUUGUUAUUGGGUUAUUCGUGAUCUUGUUAAUUACUUCAAUUACAACAAGUUGUAUUCAUUAAAUCUCAAUUCAUGCAUUAUUGGUCCAUCGGUCUCAACAAGUGGUAUCAGAGCGGGAUUAUUGGUGAAUUUUUGGCCUAAAACUGAUCGAAAAAUCGUCUGAAAAUUACCAGAAAAUCAGAAAACGAAUCUGUCCGAUUUUUCGAUUUUUUGCUUGAUCUGUUUUCACGUUUUCUGGUCAAACCAAAAAGAGUUUGAAAAAACGAAUACCACCAGUGGACUCAGCAGGUAGAAACAGUCCAGAAAGGGUCACAGAUUGUCGGCGCAUUUCCGGCAGGGUCUUUUGUUUUGACAAGAGUAGAUUAUAAGAUAACAAAACAGGAAUAACGUUAUCUAGUACACGUUAGUUAAAAAUUAUCUUAAGAGCAUACGUAUUAUUCUGCUAUAUUUGAAACAAUGUUCACUUAGUUGUUAAAUUAGAAUAUAGUAGAAUUCAGAUACUCUAUUCAUGAUCUGUUGACCGUAGUUCUGGACUCUAUUACAAAAAUUAGCAUAAGAUGAGGGCCCGUUUGGUACACAUUAUCGUAAAAAUGAGAAUGAAAAAUAUAGUCGUUACGAGUCCUACACAAGAGAUAGAAAGUCAAAUAUGAUGACUUGAUAUGAUGGAUAAUGGUUAUAUUUUUCAUUUUAAUGUACAAAUAAUGAAAAACAAACGAGGGCUGAGUAAUGUUGCCCUAAAGAUGUUAUCUUUUGUACUAAACAAAGAUGAACGAAAAUCUCGUAUUACAAAACUUUCUACGAGAAAAAAAUUUCUAAACCAAAUUGAAGGUGUGUUUUACUUUAUUCCAAACCCACCAAGUAUGGACAACUUUACUAUGACUAACAUUUCAAACCAAACCUUCUAGUCUAUAAAACCCUUUAGGCUUUAAGUUCUUUGGAAUGUAGAGAAAAAGGGGAAAUUCUUGCCUUUUAAUUAGAGACCCUGAUUUGGGCUCCGUUUAUAUUAGGCUUUCUCUUGGGCCACCAAUCAGAAAAAUGAGAUCAUCGGGUUGUCAAGUAGAACCCAUUCAACACUAAACCAUCAUUCUCCUUCGGGAAAAUUACCCAAAACUUGCCAUUAAAGAUUAGUUUUCGAAAACAAUGGUGUUAAGUUUAAAAUUCAGAUUUUAGGUGGUAAAUAGAAUUUUUAAUUGUAAUAACCCCACGACCCCUACCCCAAUUAAUCCCAAGCCCAGCCCUCCACUCUAUGUAUAUAUCUCUCUCUAUGAGUCACUUUGUAUCUUUCUCUCUAUCGUCACUCCUUAUCUUCCCUCCCUCUCUCUCUCUCUAGUCUUUACCACCGCUCUACCCACCCCACGAUAACCCUAGAGCGGAGCAGAACUACUGGAAAAAGUUGAUGCACGUCGUGUAAGAAGGCUGCAACCAGAGUUGGUGGCGCCAAUGAAGCUUUUUCUGAUUUAUGAAUGGUUUUUUUAACUGUGGGUGGUUUGUUGGUGGUCGAGGUAGUGGCGACGGUGACUUGCAGCUCGCAAUGAGCGCGUACCCUCCACUUGUUAGAAGUGUGACUCAAAUAGGAGUCUAAAUUGCGUUAAAUUUCUUACCUUUUUUAGGACUCUUUUAGGACUAGAUUUUAUACUAUAAAUACAGGACUUCUCUUUCAGUAUUGUUAAAAAAAAACCUAUUAUUGUUGUAAUUCUCUCCUUUUAUUGAUUGAAUAAAAUAAUAUCGUUCAUUUGCCAGUUCUUUUAUUUCUUUACUUUAAUCUUGUUAUUGGGUUAUUCGUGAUCUUGUUAAUUACUUCAAUUACAACAAGUUGUAUUCAUUAAAUCUCAAUUCAUGCAUUAUUGGUCCAUCGGUCUCAACAAGUGGUAUCAGAGCGGGAUUAUUGGUGAAUUUUUGGCCUAAAACUGAUCGAAAAAUCGUCUGAAAAUUACCAGAAAAUCAGAAAACGAAUCUGUCCGAUUUUUCGAUUUUUUGCUUGAUCUGUUUUUACGUUUUCUGGUCAAACCAAAAAGAGUUUGAAAAAACGAAUACCACCAGUGGACUCAGCAGGUAGAAACAGUCCAGAAAGGGUCACAGAUUGUCGGCGCAUUUCCGGCCAAUUGCCGACAGUGGAACUCCGGCGAGGAGAGUGGCGGUGCGUGCGGCGGUUUUCGGUGACGGUGUCUUCAGGUAGUUUUCUCCGGACGACGAGACGGACCUUGUGGUGCUGUCCAAUUUCAGUUUUGGGUGUUGCAGAUUGUAAGUUCUUCCUGAUUUAAUUGAGAUUUUUUCAGAGAUGAAUUCGUUAACCGUUUGGUACACAUUAUCGUAAAAAUGAGAAUGAAAAAUAUAGUCGUUACGAGUCCUACACAAGAGAUAGAAAGUCAAAUAUGGUGACUUGAUAUGAUGGAUAAUGGUUAUAUUUUUCAUUUUAAUGUACAAAUAAUGAAAAACAAACGAGGGAUAAAGUAUGAAAUUCCGCUAUUGGAUCGCAAUACAAGAUUUUCGCUGUAGCAAGUAAAGGUGAGAGCUGUGUUGACGCAGAUGGAUCUUGAUGAUGCUUUGCUGGGUUUAGAUAGGAUGCCAACAAACUUGUCUAUGGAGGAGAAACAACGGAGGGAUCGGAAGGCUUUAGCACAAAUCCAACUUCAUUUAUACAACAAUUUGCUGCAAGAUGUUUUGAAAGAGAUGACAGCGGCUGCUUUGUGGCUCAAGCUGGAGCAGUUGUGCAUAACAAAGAGUUUGACGAGCAAACUGACUCUAAAGCAGAUGUUGUAUUCUCAUCGCACGGCGGAAGGAGGGUCACUGCAAGACCACCUUGCUGUGUUCAAGGAGAUCAUUGCAGAUUUGGAGACGUUGGAGGUAAAAUAUGAUGAAGAGGAUCUAACCUUGGUCCUGUUGUGUUUGCUACCUAAUUCUUUUUCGUCAUUUCGUGAUACUAUUAUGUAUAGUCGUGACACGUUAUCCAUUGAGGAGGUAUACGACUCCCUAUUCUCAAAAGAGAAGAUGGAGUUGUUGGUUGGAGAUCCUGCAUCUAGGAGUGGGAUGCUCUUGUUACUCAUGGUGAUCAACGGAGGGGUAGAUCGAAGGUGAAGUACAGCAAUGUGAAUUGUUAUUAUUGCAAGAGAUGAGCGCGUACCCUCCACUUGUUAGAAGUGUGACUCAAAUAGGAGUCUAAAUUGCGUUAAAUUUCUUACCUUUUUUAGGACUCUUUUAGGACUAGAUUUUAUACUAUAAAUACAGGACUUCUCUUUCAGUAUUGUUAAAAAAAAACCUAUUAUUGUUGUAAUUCUCUCCUUUUAUUGAUUGAAUAAAAUAAUAUCGUUCAUUUGCCAGUUCUUUUAUUUCUUUACUUUAAUCUUGUUAUUGGGUUAUUCGUGAUCUUGUUAAUUACUUCAAUUACAACAAGUUGUAUUCAUUAAAUCUCAAUUCAUGCAUUAUUGGUCCAUCGGUCUCAACAAGUGGUAUCAGAGCGGGAUUAUUGGUGAAUUUUUGGCCUAAAACUGAUCGAAAAAUCGUCUGAAAAUUACCAGAAAAUCAGAAAACGAAUCUGUCCGAUUUUUCGAUUUUUUGCUUGAUCUGUUUUCACGUUUUCUGGUCAAACCAAAAAGAGUUUGAAAAAACGAAUACCACCAGUGGACUCAGCAGGUAGAAACAGUCCAGAAAGGGUCACAGAUUGUCGGCGCAUUUCCGGCCAAUUGCCGACAGUGGAACUCCGGCGAGGAGAGUGGCGGUGCGUGCGGCGGUUUUCGGUGACGGUGUCUUCAGGUAGUUUUCUCCGGACGACGAGACGGACCUUGUGGUGCUGUCCAAUUUCAGUUUUGGGUGUUGCAGAUUGUAAGUUCUUCCUGAUUUAAUUGAGAUUUUUUCAGAGAUGAAUUCGUUAAAGUAUGAAAUUCCGCUAUUGGAUCGCAAUACAAGAUUUUCGCUGUAGCAAGUAAAGGUGAGAGCUGUGUUGACGCAGAUGGAUCUUGAUGAUGCUUUGCUGGGUUUAGAUAGGAUGCCAACAAACUUGUCUAUGGAGGAGAAACAACGGAGGGAUCGGAAGGCUUUAGCACAAAUCCAACUUCAUUUAUACAACAAUUUGCUGCAAGAUGUUUUGAAAGAGAUGACAGCGGCUGCUUUGUGGCUCAAGCUGGAGCAGUUGUGCAUAACAAAGAGUUUGACGAGCAAACUGACUCUAAAGCAGAUGUUGUAUUCUCAUCGCACGGCGGAAGGAGGGUCACUGCAAGACCACCUUGCUGUGUUCAAGGAGAUCAUUGCAGAUUUGGAGACGUUGGAGGUAAAAUAUGAUGAAGAGGAUCUAACCUUGGUCCUGUUGUGUUUGCUACCUAAUUCUUUUUCGUCAUUUCGUGAUACUAUUAUGUAUAGUCGUGACACGUUAUCCAUUGAGGAGGUAUACGACUCCCUAUUCUCAAAAGAGAAGAUGGAGUUGUUGGUUGGAGAUCCUGCAUCUAGGAGUGGGAUGCUCUUGUUACUCAUGGUGAUCAACGGAGGGGUAGAUCGAAGGUGAAGUACAGUAAAGAUUAGUUUUCGAAAACAAUGGUGUUAAGUUUAAAAUUCAGAUUUUAGGUGGUAAAUAGAAUUUUUAAUUGUAAUAACCCGGUAAAAAUGAAGAAAAUUCGUUUUAUGGCAAGAUACAUUUUUCCAACCGAUUAAAAGUUAAUUUAAUUUAUAUUUUCUUUUACUACUAAUAAGUUAGAAUAUGCAUGCAGGUCAAUCAGGUAAUUCGAACGAGACUAAUAUUGCUGAAAAUUUUUGUGAUGAUGGAGAUGUGAUGUUGGCUGUAUCUGACGGAGAAUCCAAACCUGAGGAGUGGAUUCUGAAUUCUGCUUGUUCGUAUCAUAUGUGUGCUAAUAGAGCUUUGUUUCAAACAUAUGAGACGGUGAAGCAAGGUGGAGUUGUCAUAGCUCGCAAUGAGCGCGUACCCUCCACUUGUUAGAAGUGUGACUCAAAUAGGAGUCUAAAUUGCGUUAAAUUUCUUACCUUUUUUGGGACUCUUUUAGGGCUAGAUUUUAUACUAUAAAUACAGGACUCCUCUUUCAGUAUUGUUUAAAAAAACCUAUUAUUGUUGUAAUUCUCUCCUUUUAUUGAUUGAAUAAAAUAAUAUCGUUUAUCGGUUGAGUCAGAUUGAGGCUACAGGAUGGAACAGUGAGGACACUUGAUCAGGUUCGUCAUGUUCCAGACUUGACAAAGAAUCUUAUAUCACUUAGUACCUUGGAUGAAAAGGGGUACAAAUUUUUUGGUGGAGGUAGAGUCUUGAAGGUUCGAAGGGGUGUCCGGGUUGUACUAGAGGGACAGAGGAAAUCCCAGUUGUACAUCUUGCAGGGGAGUGCAGAACCAGUUCAGAGACAUUUGAACAAGUUCAGUACCGUGGUGGACAUUUAAUUUGGUACAGUACCUCUCGGGUUUGGCUCUAGGUCAGUUAAGAACUUUUCUCAAGUGAGUGUUGAUGAUUCCGCUUUGCCACCAAUUUUAGCGGGUACAAUGUGUUCUUGUAAUGCCAAUGGACUCAUGGAGUGUAGGUACAGUUUUGGAGAUGUCUGUAAUGCUUUAAAAAUCAUUGAAGGUGACAAUAUUGGCAAAGGACCUUUUGAUUGUGCAUUUGGUGUGGUUUGUGCUACAGGGUGUGCUUCGACCCUGUCUAGUGAUUGUUAAUUCCAAGAGAAAUUUUGGAAACUCGAGUUUGGGUUCAGGUGUCACUUGUGGACGCCGGGCUGGAGAACGUAUUAUCGUGGAGAGUUUGGUUAUUGCGUUGAGGAGAUUGGUCAGUUCAUUUUGAUGCAGACGAAUUAUUUCUCAAGGUGGAGAAAUUUUGGAGCUUCGUUCGUUGCACCGAAAUUUGAGUCAAGGUGGAGAUUGUUAGAAGUGUGACUCAAAUAGGAGUCUAAAUUGCAUUAGAUUUCUUACCUUUUUUGGGACUCUUUUAGGACUAGAUUUUAUACUAUAAAUACAGGACUCAUCUUUCAGUAUUGUUAAAAAAAAAACCUAUUAUUGCUGUAUUUCUCUCCUUUCAUUGAUUGAAUAAAAUAAAAUCGUUCCUCUGCCAGUUCUUUUAUUUCUUUACUUUAAUCUUGUUAUUGGGUUAUUCGUGAUCUUGUUAAUUACUUCAAUUACAACAAGUUGUAUUCAUUAAAUCUCAAUUCAUGCAUUAUUGGUCCAUCGGUCUCAACACCACUCACCAACUUUUGCGCAUUUUGAGGUGUAUUUUCGACUACCGGCGGAUCUAGAUCUGGUGUCAAACCUUGACGUGCCAAUAGGAAGUGUAGAGAAAAUGGGAUCAGAGGACGAUCUAUAUUUUUACUUAUAUAAUUAUGGAGAAGCUUAGUGGUGGAGAUGGAUUUGAGAUUAAUGACUCUGUUUUCGACAAUGGAUUUGAAGGUGUUGGCGGAAAUGAUGGUGAUGGUAAUUGUUGCUGUGGAUUUGAAGUGAAGGUAAACUUGAGUUGAAGGUGGUUGUGGUUGUGAAAUUGGUUGUGCAAUUGAGUGGGUGGUGGUGAUUGGAGGUGAAUUGUGGUUUUGGUCUUUGGUGUGUUCAGAUUUGUUUAUGAUGACCUUUGGUGAUCAAAUAUGUGUUAAUUGUGAUAGGGUGUAACCAAUUUUGUCUUUAUUGUCAUUGUACGUGACUCGAUUAAUAGUGAGAUACAAAUUAAAUUGAUCUGGUCACAUACAAUCAUAUUGAAUACAAAUUUUGUCAUAAUUAAUAACAGAUAACACAUGUCAAUAACUUGAUUACGUACAAGAUAUAGUCACAAACAAUAAAUCUGGCCACAAUAAUCACAAUAACACAAUUAGUGACAAAUCUCGUCAACUGAAAUGCAACAUUACUACCACCACAUAGUACUCAAAACGUUGGUAGCACCCUAUCACCACCACCGUCAAACACAUCAACUGCAAUUUACCUUCAUCACCUAUAAUGUACUAUCAUCGCCACCAAGCAGACAUAUUUUCUAAACACAGUGCCUCCUCUCCUCCUCCACCACCACCUAUAAAGAUUUUUCUGAUGGAGAGAGAGAGAGAGAGUGAGUAUAAUUGAUUGUAUAUAUAUAUAUAUNNNNNNNNNNNNNNNNNNNNNNNNNNNNNNNNNNNNNNNNNNNNNNNNNNNNNNNNNNNNNNNNNNNNNNNNNNNNNNNNNNNNNNNNNNNNNNNNNNNNNNNNNNNNNNNNNNNNNNNNNNNNNNNNNNNNNNNNNNNNNNNNNNNNNNNNNNNNNNNNNNNNNNNNNNNNNNNNNNNNNNNNNNNNNNNNNNNNNNNNNNNNNNNNNNNNNNNNNNNNNNNNNNNNNNNNNNNNNNNNNNNNNNNNNNNNNNNNNNNNNNNNNNNNNNNNNNNNNNNNNNNNNNNNNNNNNNNNNNNNNNNNNNNNNNNNNNNNNNNNNNNNNNNNNNNNNNNNNNNNNNNNNNNNNNNNNNNNNNNNNNNNNNNNNNNNNNNNNNNNNNNNNNNNNNNNNNNNNNNNNNNNNNNNNNNNNNNNNNNNNNNNNNNNNNNNNNNNNNNNNNNNNNNNNNNNNNNNNNNNNNNNNNNNNNNNNNNNNNNNNNNNNNNNNNNNNNNNNNNNNNNNNNNNNNNNNNNNNNNNNNNNNNNNNNNNNNNNNNNNNNNNNNNNNNNNNNNNNNNNNNNNNNNNNNNNNNNNNNNNNNNNNNNNNNNNNNNNNNNNNNNNNNNNNNNNNNNNNNNNNNNNNNNNNNNNNNNNNNNNNNNNNNNNNNNNNNNNNNNNNNNNNNNNNNNNNNNNNNNNNNNNNNNNNNNNNNNNNNNNNNNNNNNNNNNNNNNNNNNNNNNNNNNNNNNNNNNNNNNNNNNNNNNNNNNNNNNNNNNNNNNNNNNNNNNNNNNNNNNNNNNNNNNNNNNNNNNNNNNNNNNNNUUAUAUUGACUUAAUAGUGGAGUGAAAGAUAUGAUCGAUGAUCGAGAUUGACACAAUUCCAUAUCUCGUAAUUGAUCGGAUCAUAUUGACGAAGGGAUUAUAGUUUCACGGUAAACGAACGAAUUUGGUUUUGUCAUACCACGUGACAUUUUUCGUCACAUGUAUUGCCCUGACACAUUGCUGGAUGUCAAUCAGGGACGGCGAGUGUGAAUUGCCGAUAAAUUAAAAGGGUAUUUUAAUUUAUCAAUUUUGAUUAGAUCAAAAUAAUAUUUCACGUCGUUAGGUAUCGUGGUCGGAAACCUAAUGGGUCGCACACAAAAGAGAAUUGGAAUAUUGCAAAUUGCCAAUUGGUUAAUUUAACAAUCGUUGGAUAAAUUAAUUAAUUGAAUUUGUUAUUUAUAUUCCCAAAUUAAUUAAUUGGAUUAAUUAAUUUACGGACCGGGUUUAAUUAAUUGAAUUAAUUAAAUAUUGAACCGGACCGGGCCGAGUUCGUUUGAGUUUAUAUCAAUACAUAAUUAGGGUUUGAGGUCCAUAUGGUUUUCAUUAUUCUUGCUGGCACAAGAGAAAACCCUAGAAGCUGCAAUCUUAUUCUCUGUGUGGAUCACCGUUGGAGCCUGAACAAUUGGACAGCUGUGGUGGCGAAUCAAGGUUGAUGGAACGAAAAGAAAAGCAAAAAGAUUGCAGAUCUGGAAAAUGUACAAUCUUAUCGCGCGUUUCAGUCCUUAAGUUUGAAUUAGAAUCAUUUUGGUACCUGAAGUGACCAUUUGUGAAAGUUUUAAAAACUUCAGUGACCAUUAGUGAAACCGCCCAAAACUUAAGUGACCGUUUAUGAAAGUUUUAAACUUCAGUGACUGUUUUGUAAUUUUUUGUUAAGUUCAGUGACCGUUUGUGAAAUUAAUCCUUUUUUGAACCCAUCUUGAUCUUGUCUUGAGAUUUGAAAAAAUUAAAUUAUGACAGGUGGAAGCAAAGACAUCCACGCACCUAAAAGACGAGAAGAAAAAUCAUCAGAUGCCCCCUCAUCCUUUAUUUCUCUUGGUUUCCCUAACGGGGAAACGUUUUUACCCCUCGAUUUCCACCACCUCCUUUACCAGUUGUGUUGUCCACGCGACCACCCUAUGCCCCUUUCCCUUGGACCACACUAUCGGAUUCGGAUAAGAACAUUUUGUCAUCCACGUGAAAAUCAAUCUGAUGAUUUUAAUUAAUUAAUUAUUAAUCUUGCUGUCGGCUACUUUACCCAACCCCUAGUUUUGUAAAGAUUAAAAUCAAAGUUUUAGUAAAUUUGAUACAAGCUGAUUAAGGCCUAGUUUGUUUUUCAUUCUUUGGCCCUAAAAAUAAAGAAUAUGACAUUUAUUCAUCACAUCAAAUCACUAUAUCGGACUUCUUCUUUCUUGUGUGGAUCGAUUAUAUUUUUUAUUCUCAUUCUUAUGAAAAUGAGAAUCAAACUGAGGCUAAAUAUAUAAUUCAAAAAUUGUGGGAUACAUGAAACAUGUGGCUAAAAUUAAUUAUUUAUUUUAACUUAGAUUAACAUUUUAAUUCGUACCAAAUAAAUUUCAUCAAUUUAUAUUAAAAUUUGUUAAAAGUUUAAUUUUAAUUCUUAUCAAUCAAACGUGGCUAUCCGAUGAGAAAAUUAUUUAGGAAAAAGCCCAGUGUACAGGGCUUUUUCCUACAGGUUUUAUACAGGGCCCUCACUGUAGCGAGGGCCCCACAUGUAUAAAAAAAAUUAAGGCGGGCCCCACCAAUGUGAGUACCUGUAAAAUAUCUGACAAAAAAAAGCCCUGUAUAUGUAGGUUGGUCCAAUUAUUUAUUUGAUAAGAAUGUUGAUUGAACCUUUUUUUUUUACAGAAAAUUAGUUUUUUAUUUGAUAAGAAUGUUGAUUGAGCCUUUGCCAAAUAUUGCCAAUCAAUUUACUCUGAUUUUGACAUGCAACUCAAGAAAUUUUUUAAUAACCAUUUUACAGAAAAUUAGUUUUUUAUUUGAUGAAAGGCUAAAUUAGUAAAUUAAUACAGCAUGAAUAUACAUAUUUGCUCUACUAUGAAUCUUCCCACAAAUUUAUUUAUAUUCCUCUCGUUUUUCCUCAUCCCCAUUUAUAUUGUUAAAAUGACAAUGGAAAAUUUGACAAAGAUUUUGCCCAUGAGAAAUAGUUAUCAACCGUUUUGCUCUUUCUUUCGAAUGUGAGCUUCUACCACGUUAUCUAUGAUAAUUAAGAUCUAGCUUAUUUAUUUUUUUCCUUAUUCAAACACACUAUCAUAUGCUCGAAAAUUUAUUUCACAAUGAGUUGCAAUUUGAAAGUAACUUAAAUAAAGAUUUUUUUUUAAGUACCAGUGAGACGCACGUGCAAGGCACGUGUUAUAGUAUAGUUGACUAUGUAAUAGAGUAGAUAUAAAAAAAUUAUUUGUGUUAAACAUCAAUUUACAUCAAACAUAAUCACCCGAAUACACUACGGAUUGAAAUUCAUUUCUGCGUUGUAACACUUCUGUUCAUAAGAAGCGCGCGCGCGCACACACAUAUAUAUAAAGAUUCAGACGGUGCAUUUAAUGUUGGAAUGGUUUUAAAAGGAAAAUUAUAGCAAAACGUUGGCUUUUUUUUUCCCCCUCUAAUGAAAUGAGUUAAACAAGGUUGUAUUGUGGUUAAAAAAAGGGGGAGGUGAUUGACAUCGUAUUCGGUCCCGAAAAAGUCAAAACAAUAACUUUAAAAAAAAUGAGAAAGACAUAAAAUAGUAACUUGGCACACAUCAAUAGGAAUGGUGCUAGGGAUGUCAAACGAGUCGAGCUGCUCGUCGACUUGGCUCGUGAAAGGAGGUUCGUGGGCAGCUCGGGCUCGUAAAAUCACGAGCCCAAGUACGAGCCGAGUGGGCCAGACGGGAGGCGAGCCACGAGCUGGCUCCUGGCUCGUCCUAGUGACCAUUCUGGUCACUGAAAAAAUUUCAGUGAUCAGAACGAUCACUGAAAUUUAUUUAUUUAUUCCCCCCUUCUUCUACUAUAAAUACCCCCCUUUCCCCCAAAUUUUUUUCAUAUCUUGCUACUACAAGUCUACAAUCCUCUCAACUCUUUUUUAUUAUAUCAAUUAUCGAGUUUUUUUUUUACUCUCUUGUGCAGUUGAAAGUUGUGUUACAAAAUAUACAAUAUCAAUUUAAUUUUUACAGUAUAUUAGUUACAAUUUCAAUUCAUCCAAUUCUCAAUUCUCACAAUCUCACUACAUUUAUAUUCAUCUAGUUAAGAUUUCAUCAUAAAUAAUCAAACAAAUGGAUCAACGCUCAUUUGUUGAGAGAUUGUGCGAUACAGGAUGUGAGCCACUGCCACAUCAUGGAGAAUCGCCUACGACGUCGCAAAGUCAAUUUUCAAAUGAAUUUGCCGGUCUAAAUGACAUACCGAUACCUGAAGAUGUUCACAUUCACGGUCAUGGAAGCCACAAUCUAAUUGAUUUGGAUGAUAUUAACGUUCCCGAAGUGAAACAUGAAGAUGAAGAUGUUGAAUUAAAUAUCCCAGAUGCGAGGGAAAAGCGAAAGGCCAAAAAACAAGUAAAAUGUUGGGAUCACUUUAAGUUGGUUUCAACGGGAAAAGUCGUCGAUGGUAUUGCAAAAUCUAAAGCAGUAUGUAAAUACUGCCAACAAAGAUUUGCAUGGCAAAAAGGAAUUGGUACCACCCAUCUCAACCGUCACUACAAAGCAUGUGCGGCCAGACAUGGAUUUCUUCCAGCUGGUCAAACACAAUUGCAAUUUGGCAGUCCAGACGCCGGUUCUACAACUUCACCCCUAUCCACAUGGGUGUAUUCGGAGGACAAUACUCGAACCGGAAUGGUGAAAUUUGUUGUCGCCACUAAGUUGCCUCUGGCUAUUGCAGACAACCAACACUUCGUCUCGUUCGUGAAAGAAUAUCUAUAACCGAGGUACGUCAGGGUAAGUCGAAACACUCUUCGUGCUGAUACAAUAAAUUAUUUCAAUAAUUCAAAACAACAAUUAAUUAUGGAUUUGCAACAAUAUAAGGGUGUUAUAUCUUUAACUUCUGAUAUAUGAGAAUGGGUUAAUAAAAGAGCAUAUAUAGUUACAACUGCACACUAUAUAGAUCCACUUUGGUGCAUGCAUAAGAAAAUUAUUAUUUUUAGAAUUAUUGAGUUUUCUCACAAUGCUAAUAAUAUAUAUAAUGCUAUUAUUAGUAUUGUUAGAGAAUAUCAUUGCGAGACUAAAAUUCGAUCUUUUCCUUUUGAUAAUGCUAGUGUUAAUAAGGUAGUCAUCGAUAAAUUGUGUAGGAUACUUCAACCUGAUUUUGGUGGGUAUUUAUUUCAUAUUCGUUGUGUGUGUCAUAUCUUAAAUUUAAUUGUAUAAGAUAGUUUAAAACAUAUAAAGGAUGAAAUUCAAAGAAUUAGGAAUGCAUUAAUAUAUAUUACGAUUUCUCCUAGUAGAAAACAAGUAUUUGAAGAUUUUUGUGCCGAACUAGGGGUGACAACUGCUAAAACAUUUGUUAGCGACGUAUGUCAUAGAUGGAACUCUACAUACUUGUUAUUAAAAUCAUGUGAAGGUUUCGAAAAUUUAAUAACUGACUUUUAUAAUAAUAUACAUGUUAGAAGUGAUGACGAUGGUAUGUUAAAUGAAUCCGAUUGGAUUUUAACUUUGAAAGUUAAAUGAUUUUUGACAUCUUUUUAUGAGAUCAUAAAGAUUUUAUCUGGCGUUUAUUAUCCCACAAGCUGUAUGAUGCUUGAACACCUUUAUAUAAUUGCAAGAACAUUUUAUAAAUAUAAAAAUGAUCCUGCUUUUAGUGAAAUUUUAAUUACUAUGGAAUUAAAGUUUAGAAAAUAUUGGGAAGAACUGCCUAUAUUAUUUCGUUUAGCAUACGCAAUGGAUCCCCGAUAUAAUAUUUCGGGAGCUAAAUACGUAAUUGAUCAAAUCAAUAAAGUUUUAAACUUGAUACACCUAUCACUUAUAAGAAUUUAGAGUAAACAUUAUGUGGAAUGUAUGAUUUAUAUGCGGAAAGAAUGUGUGCGAAUGUUAGUUGGGUACCCUCUGUUGCACGUACUCCUUCUGCUGAAACUGAAGAAGAUGCUGCGAAAAUAAUGAAUUUAUUUAAAGGCAUUAAUAAAUUUAGAUAUGAUGCAACUACAACGUGUUCAUCUAGUGCCAUGUCGUCUACAUUUGCAUCUCAUCAAACAUCGAUCGAAAUUCAAAAUGUGAUGCCUGCCGAAUUAAUUGAUUACUUUAAUCAUAAUAUGCCAACAGACAGAAGACAUAACAAUUAAAAAAAGUUCGAAGAAGUAAUUGAAUUUUGGCGAAAGUAUGAAAGACGUUGGUCAAUUGUUUCUACAAUUGCGAAAGAUUUGCUGACACCUCCUCUUAGUAUUGUUGUUUCGGAGUCUACUUUUAGAGCAAGUAAAAGGGUUUUGACCGAUGUCAGGAGCCGACUGAAAGAAGAUGUUUUGGAAGCGUUAAUGUGCGUGAAGGAUUGACAGGACGCUUAUUUUCGACUACAAGAUAAAUACGCUGAAAUUGCAUGUCGUCAAAUAAGUAAUAUUUGAUUUAAUUAUAUUAAUCGAAAUUUCAUUAUUUUUUAAUCGUUAAAUUUAAUUUUCUUUAAAAAAUUGUACACGUUACAACAAGUUUUUCGUGUACAAUUUUUAACUCCGCCUACCUAAAAUUGAUGUAGCCGAUCUCAAACCCGGAUAAAAGAAGAGGGUUUAUAUUUUAUUAACUUUAAAAAGAAAUCAAAAAAAUAUAUUUUUUGUAAAUGUAUUUCAAAAAAUAAUUCGUCUUUAUUAUAUAAAUAUUUUAGUCUUUAUAAAAAGUAUUACAAUAUGAAUCAUAUGAUAUAACUAAAAAAAAUAAAAAAUUGUUUUUGUUAAAUUAUUUUUAUUUUUUAACAUUUUUAUUUUUUAACACUUUUUGUAUGGUCAAGAAAUCAUAGUUUUUUAACAAUAUAUUUUUAUUUUUAACACUUUCACACUUAAAAAAAUAAAAAAAAGACGAGCCCAUGAGCUCGUGGGCCGAGCCGAGCUCGCCCAAACGAGCCACGAGCGCGAGCCGAGCUCGUGGGAUUAAGGGCUCGGCUCGACCCAUUGCCACCUCUAAAUGGUGCCAACACAAAGUCACUCUUUUAAGAUAUGGGAAUAACUCUAAAUAUUAUAAUUGUACAUGUAUUCUCCUAAGCACUUGUACUUAGUUUAUAUUAAACUUCGAGUGACAUGAUAAACUAUAAUAAGUGAAGGGAGAUGAUGGAAGUUUCAAAUCGUUUACAUUUGUUGGUAGUUAAUGUGUUACGUCAUCCGAUACUUAGCAUAAGUUAAGUACUAAUAUUUAGGAGACUAUUUUCAUGUAUAGGAGUCCUUGACCUACUACAAAUGUAGCAAGAAUACCUUAUAGUCCUUGUUUGGGCUCCAUUUUAAUUUUAAUACAUUUCUUUCUUUCUUUUUGUUCAAUCAUAUAUUUUUCAAAUAAUAUUACAUUUAAAUUCAAUUUUUUUUCUUUUUUAACCACACAUUUUUCAAAAAAAUCCUUUCUCCCCAAUCAUUUUUUCAUACAUAAUGUAAAUUUUGUAAUUUUAAGAAAAGUUUGACCGUUUACCCAAACAUUACAAAAAUAAAGGUUAGGAUUUGGUGCUGUCAAAAAUUUAGAUCUGGACCUAUAUGCUAUAGUUUCAAUUGAUUGAGGACCCCAACUCUACUUUUUCCAUGUAAUAAAUGACUCCUAAUAAAACUGUCGGAAUAAUUUUAAAUAUAAGUGAAGUGGCAGGACGUCAUUUCCACUAAUCUCUUAUAGCCGCCCAUUCACAGCGCGUAAUAAACAAGCACACCGACGCACCCCACCUUUGUCCUUAUCCACAUCAUAGUCCAAUUUUCCGUUCUCACUUCGCAUCUUCUUCUUUCCAUCCAGUCUCUCUAUAUAUACAUUUCACGUUUAAUCGCAUAUAUAAAACUCUCGGAGAAGACCAAGGGGGUUGCUGCCUUGCCAAUGUCUGAACCGUCGUCCUCGUGUAAUCUGGAACGGUUCCUGGAGUCAAUAACACCCUCGGUGCCGGCUCAACGAUUAUCAAAGGUUUAAUUGAUAUAUAUGAAUUAUUUGGACUUUCCCUUAAUUAGAAGUGGUUUACGUUAAAAAGAUUUGAAUUUAUUGUCAGUGGUAAUUAAUCUGAAAGUUUGCAGAUUCUAUGGAUUUAGCAUGUUUUGUUAAUUACUUCACUGGCCAUGUUUAAAUAGUGUUUAUUCCAAAGUAUUUAUUUAGUCCGAACGUUUUAGUUUUUUAACUAUUUGUUGAAGUGUUUUUCUGUGUUGUCUAGCAAUGUUUCAAUAAUUAAGAGAAAUGUGGUAAUAUCUAUUGAAAAUACGAAAUUUAGGAACUUUUAAUACAGUAGUUAAAUCACUUUAAAAUGUCUGGCUGUUAUUUUUCAUAUUAAUUUUUUACCAAUGGAUGUGAAAGGUUGAAACUCGUACAACAGUUAUAUGGAUGAUCAUAUGCUUUAUUUUAUUAUGAAACUUCAAAAUUUGAAUAAUGAAAAUAGAUGGCUAGUGUCUAGUUGAAUUGACCAGGUCAUGGAGAAAAUAUGAAUUCAUCAAUUUUUUCUUGCUUUGCCAAUUGUUUUGGGUAGUUUACUGAAUCAAAAUUUUAAUGAAUGAUAUAUUGAAAAUAUGACUUCAUUAGUUUAUUAAUGAUUACCAAUUCUUAUGUUUAGUUAUUAGAAGUUAUUGCAAUUUUAAUGUUGCUAUAGCAACAUGUAAGUGAUUGUGGCUGAAAUAUGCUUUGGAGAUGGUAAAUUUUUCUUGAAGUAUGGUAACCACCUCUUUGUUCUCUGAAGAAAAUUAGUAUUAAUUUGCUGACUAAUUCAAAAUAUCAUUAGUUUAUUGUUACUUCAUUAUUUUUGGUUAAUUACCAUGGGUUUGAUUCAAUCUAUUUGAAAAUAUUAACAGACAGCAUUGAAGGAAUGGAGAACUAGCAAUGAGAAUUGUCAACCGUACUUUGUGCUAGCCGAUUUGUGGGAGUCAUUCAAGGAAUGGAGUGUAUAUGAUGCAGGAGUGCGAUUGAUAAUGAAUGACAGUGACCUUGUGGUCCAAUAUUAUGUUCCCUAUUUAUCGGGUAUACAAUUGUAUGUUGACCCUUCAAGGAGUAUGGAAAAUUCAAGGUACCUUAUUUUCCUCCUAGAUUCAAUUUAGACUAUGAGUAUAACCAGACCUCAUCUAUUUGUCAAAAAUGUAGAAAUGAAAGAAGAAAGAACUACUGGCUUGCUUUUGUGUUUCAUUUUAUAAGAAUGUUAGAUGUUCGGAUAAAACUUUGAACACAUGUAAUAUUUGCUAGUAAAAGUGCAUAAAACCUGUUAGUGAUGUGUUCUUGUGCUUGUGUCAUUGUAAUAUCUUUUAGGAUACUGUCAAUAACAGUGGUUAAAUAUCUGUUUCUAGAAUGACUAGAAGGCAAUCGAAAGAGUUCUGGACUGAGGAAGUGUAUUUUGGCUUUGCUCAGAUUACUUUAGAUGGGAGAAUUUUAGCUCGUUCCCUUACUACUGGAUUUAUGGAUCAAGAGUUAUUCUGAUGUUUGACCAUGUAUAUGCUAUUAAGGAUGUGAUUUGAUGGGUUAUGUGAUCAUCAUUGAUUUGGUAGCUCAAUCAAGAUCACUUAGCGUAAGUGUAAAACAGUCACUGAGUGUAAAUGUGUCAGCCUCAGUGUUGCUAAUGAUGAUAUUGAUGUGAUAAAAUAAUUUCCAUUACAUUGCCAGGUAUAGAUCAUUUUAUGUGUAGGCAUGGGUCAUGUGCGGGUCCAUUUACAUAAAAAUUUGGUUGUAGAAAUACUAGUUUUAAUGUAUGAUCCAGGUUUCAUUUCAAACUUUCAUUACGUGGAUGAGAAGUUUAUUUAAUUAUGAAUACAAUUUAUGAACUGGAGUGCCUGAGGUGAAAAUUGGCAAUGUACUCAUUGCUGAUAGAACAGUUACAAUGUGUCAUCUAUUUGAGUUAGUUAGUUAGAUUAUAACAUCACUUGGUUGUGCUAAGAUAUCUGUUAGGCAUUAUCUCAUCCAACCCCUUCCAAUGAGGUUCUCAGUCUUCAAUAUAUAGAGUCGAUAACAUAGUAAAAUAGAAGGAAAAUUGCUCCCAGUUUGGAAUGUAUAUGAUUUCUGAGAAUGCAUGCAUGUUUUAGCAUAGGCUGAUCAAGGGGAAAUACUUAAUAAGGUGGAACUACUAAAUUUAUAUUAUAGUGUAUGUCAAAUCUUUUGCAUUCAUAAGGAUUAUCUUGUUAUAGGUUUUUUUAUUCUCAUUUUAUUGCUUUUCAAUAAUCUUUUACUUGUUAAGCAAAUAGAAAUAAAUUUUCAAAAACUAAAAAAAGGGAAAUAGAAACAGUGAAUCUUUUUUCUUUUUCUCUCUUCUUCUUGUGGUCGACAGAUGUAUUUUCUCUUCUAGUUGCUCAAUGUUCAAUCAUGGUUGAAUCUUUUCCACUCUCUCUCUCUCUCUCUUCUCUCUUCAUAUCUUAUGUUUUGUUAAAAAUCGUGUUACUUGGCUUUGUUUGAAGUCCCAGAGAUGCUAAGUUGUCAUCCUUGAAAGUUGUCAUCUUUGAUCAAUAUCAUAGUGAUUGGAGGCAUGAUGUGUAUAGAAGUUCUUGAUAAAUAUUGUGCAUAACUUCAUGCAUAGAUAAAAGAUAAGACACUUGCCUGUGUGAAAAGCAUAGGUUUCUCCUCUGAUAUAUUGUUCGCCCAUUGCGUCUCGAUAGCGCAUGAAAGCAUUUGGUUCCGCUUAUAUGAAUUGAACUCUAUGCACUACACAAGCGUGAUCCUUUUCCUUUGUUGCAGUUGCGUACUAUAUUUGCUAUCAGAAAAGAAAAAUUGCAUUUAUACGCGUCUUAAUUACAUGAUAGACUUUUUGAGUAUGGUGCCUCUAUAUUUUUUUCCCAAUAAUCUAUUGUUUAGUAGUUUUAAUGCAUAAGUUUACGCCACAACUUGACCAUGUCAACUUGACACUUAUCAAAUUUAUUAGUAAGCAUAGCCCUCUUUCUUUCUUUAAUUUUGCAAUCAAUUGAUCCACCGAAUAAUUUCUUCCUUCUGCAAAUUUAAAUGAUUUUCUUUAAUUGUCCUGAUUAUUCCCCUUUAUGUAACAGGAGACUUGGAGAGGAAAGUGAUGGUGACUAUUUUAGGGAUUCAAGUAGCGAACAGGAUAGAUGUAGCUUCAACCAUUCAAUUGGGCAACGGAGCUAUCAUCACCAAACAAGUAAUAAUGCUUGUAGAGUAUAUCCAUUGUCCAUGAGAGAUCAGGCGUAUCAAGAAAGCUUUUCUAGUGAUGAAAGCGAUUCCGGAAGUUCACAAAGUCGCUUGUUGUUUGAGUAUCUUGAACAGGACCAACCUUGUCGGGAACCUUUGGCAGACAAGGUCAGCUUUUGUUCCGAUAAUUGAUGCAUGAUCUCAUAUUCUACUUUUUUUAAGCAUUAAGGUUUCUCUUCUUUUAUCCUUACUGAUGCUUUGCUCAAAUUGUCACAGAUAUGUGAUCUUGCUCUCCUAAAAAUGCUCAGAAGCUGUGAUCUACUACCUUCCAGUUGGAUUUCUGUUGCAUGGUAUCAUGUUUUUGCCUUAUUUAUAUUUCAAUUUACUAAUUUACUGUUGCAUGGUAUCAUGUUUUUGCCUUAUUUAUAUUUCAAUUUACUAAUUUAUGUGUAAUGUUUGUUUUUCUCAUGAAAAAAAUAUUUAUUUGUAUGUAUCCCAUUUAUAGGAUACCAAUGGGACCAACUCUUGAAGAUUUGGAUGCUUGUUUUCUGACUUUUCAUUCUCUUCAUACACCUUUACCAGGUUAGUUGAAUCUCACCCUCACACACAAAGGAGUUUUAGUGGGGUCUAUUCAAUCGAGAUUUUUGAAGGCUUUUAUAAACUUUUUUUAAGUUAUGACUUUUCGUGGAUUUCGGGUACUUCUAUAGAUUUAUAUGAAAUUAGUGAAAUUUCUAGACUUUCAUUUUAAAACUUUUAUAGACUUUUGUAGAAUUCGGAUGACUUUUGAAAACAUUCAUUUAAAGUAGAAAUCACUUGGAUUCCCACAUAAAAGGUCGAGAAUUGAUCUCCAUCCCGUUCACCCAUGUAAUAAAAAAAUAAGUUACAUUAAUUAAAAUAUAAAAAAAAAAUUUAUAUAAUAUUUCAUGUAAUAUAUUUAAAAUUUAAUGACAAAUUAGUCUUUUUUAAUAUAAAAUUUUAUUACAAAAUUGAUCAAUUACAUAAAAAAAUUGGAUUAAAAAAAUAUUACGAGAAUUUUUAAUAACAUUUUUAUUUAUUUAUUUAUUAUUAUUAUUAUUUUUUGGGUAGAGAGUGAAGCGAAACAAUAAAAAAGAAAGAAAAAUGGAAAGAGAACAAAUAUAAUUAAGAAGUAGGAAAAAUAAGUAAUAAACUUUUUGUACUAUUUGCUUUAAAAUUAUUACCCUGAAGACUUUUAUAAUAGAUUUUAAAAGUCAUUAAAAUUUUGAUUAUCAUAAGAUUUUUAGAGACUUUUAAAAAGUUUUAAUUAAAUAUACCGAAACUUUUAAAGACUUUUGAAAAGUAUAAAGUUUCUAUUGAUUAUACCAAAACUAUUAUAGAGUCUUUAAAAAUCUCAAUUGAAUGCCCCUAUACUUUUUAAAUCCUUAAAUGUCUUUAAAAGUAUUUAGAAUUCUUAAAUGAAUACACCCUCCUUAGUAUGCUCGUCAUUAUUGUUUUAUUUUCUGUUUUUAAUCUUAAAUUUACAUUUUGUCCAUUACUAUGUCUGAAGCGUUCUAGGUUUUUUAUUUCCCAAUGGUAAACAGAAGGAUAACAUGUUUUCCAAUUUAGUAUAUAUUGCAUGUUGUCUUUCCUCUUAGUUUUCUGAUUGCUUUUCUUAAGUCGUCUUGGACUCUUCUCUUCUUUGCAUGCCUUAAACUUCAUUUAGUCAAGUAACUUCUGAACACUUUUAACUUUCAGCAUGAUUAUAAUUGCAUUUUGAUAGAUAUCUUCACCGUCCUGUUUUUGAUAUUUGCCUUUGUUCUAUUUUCAGGGUGUGAAACUAUACAUAC
rnacentral:lncRNA from 1 species